UUUUUUUUUUUUUUUUUUUUCAACGGUAGAUGUUCUAUAACCUAAUCCAACCUAAUCUAGGGGUAAGGGGAGAUGAUCAACUAAGAUCAAUCACAUAUUGUGACAAAUUUGAGGAGGCAAGGUUGAACCCUGACUUCCAGCAUCACCAAAAAGGGCGAUGACCACUAGACCAAAUGACCAGUGCACCUUCCUCUUGAUUCACUUUAGAAAUUCUGAACUAAGAUAAUAGUGGCCGGACAGUUGAUGACACUUGUUUUUGGGCAUGAUGGUGAGCCUGAUACUCGCUUGCCCAGAAAACCGGCUUGACAGUGGAAGGAUAUGAUGCUUACCUUUCAACCAAAUUGUACAGAGACCCAGUGGUGAGUCUUUCCUAUCAAUCCAUCAAGUAUCACACAACUAAUUUAGUGAAUAUACCAGUCAUUGCCAAAUUGGAAAAUUUUUUUUUUAUACGUAUUCUUUUACCUACGAGAGAAAUAGAUAGGAUCCAAUAGGAGAGUAAGAGGUAUUGCGACUUCUUUAAUAUUACUCGGAAUACGCCAUAACCCAAUCAAUGAACCAAACAAAAUACGAAAGCAAACGAAAUGACUUCUUCGGCACAAUCACACGUACUCCAAUGCGAGUGGUAAUGCAAUUAAAUACGAAAAAAUAAUCUGAAAAGGACAGAACCCCAUAAUAAGUAAAUCCUAUAUAAAUUACAAACCAAAAAAAAAAUUGGAGAGAUGACAAACAAGAAUAUAACACAUUGCCAGAGCAUUUUCUGUCAUAUAUACCACCACAGCCACAGCCACAGCAACACCAACUUAGUACGAUACCUUAGAUGCGAGUUCAGUACUCGCGUAGAACAAGCUUGCUGUAGCUAAAUCCUGGCAAUAAGUAGCAUAAAUUUUUUCACAUUCCAGGCCAAAAAAAAAAAAAAAAAAAGAACAAGAAUCUAAACUACAAAAAUCUAUUGGAGAAAAUAAUAUAAUGUUACGGCACUGCAAUUCUGACCGGAACUCGGGGUCAUGUUUCUGAUCUUGCACAUGUACAAUACUUUUUGUCUCCUCUCUGGAGUCUCUGGCAUUCCUUAAUCUUGAAGUUCCUUUAACGGGCACAGACUUGCAUGUAGAGCAGCAGAGAGUUUCAGACUUCCAGCAUUGUCCUUGUACCCCACACGUGCAAGCUCCCAUUCGAUCUUCGCGUGUUUGAAGUUGUUGAAACCAGGGGAAAGAAAGGCCUCCUCGGAAAAUUAAGGCAAGCUAGCUCUCGGAAAUUCAGAAUUUUCAUUCUGGGAACCAGCUAGUUUCCAUUUGGAUUUUUUUUCUUUAGUUACAGAAACCUGGUCUGAUACUAUCAACUCCAACCCCAAAGGGACGGCAAAUACGGAAAGCCCAGUAGAUCUAUAAAGGGUGGAGUUUCCUUCAGAAACCCUAAUGAAGGUCAGUAGUUGCAGGUACCGAUAGUUUAACAAGAAUUUGUCUCUUCAAGAAAAGUUCUUUUUGAACGAGAAAAGAAAAACAAAAACACAAAGUCCUGAAAUAAAUAUAUAAAAACAGAAUAGGAAAAGGCUUCAAUAAACACAUUGCUUAUGCUUCAUUAACCUCAGUCCUCUUUCUUUUUAUUUCUAAUCAGGCACCAUUCAUCUAAGUCAAGCAAAGACAAAAACAAGAAUCUACAAUCCGAAUAUUUAAGGCCAAAUAGUACACUGGUAUUUUUCUGUGUAGGAUGAGGAUAAUAGGGUCGGUUUCUUUAUCUUCUCUUUGGCUUUGACCUAACUUUUGAUGUCUUAAGAAUGUGACUCGUGCUGCCUAACUAAAUGAAUGGGUCAUUUACUUCUGUUGAUAGGCAAUUUUCAGCUCAAACGAAGUCGUAUACGGAGAGAUAUGAUGGGAAAAAAAAAUCUGUGGGUGAAAUUGAUAGAUUAAUCGAAAAAGGGUAUAUUAUUGUUUGUGAUAGUGUUAAAACUAGCUGUGCUAGAAGGUGGGGUGUACAAAGAUGGAGCUGAAGGAGCAGAAGAAGUGGUGGAAACAACAACAAGAGAAGCAGAAGGUUGGGCCGGUGGUGGAGGAGGUGGUGCGGGAGCUGGUGUGGGAGUAGAAGGAGGGGGAGCGGGUGGGAGUUGGAGUAGCCGGAGCUUGUGGCAUCAUAGCAACAGAUACAUGAUUUCCAGAGGAGACCAAAGCAGCAUGAGUAGAUGCUAUGAUAUUAUUUGCAGCCUCUCUAUAUUUAUAUCUCAGUAUCUCAUUCCUAACUGCAUGAAGUUCGGCCUGUAAAGAUUGAACCUGUUGUUGCAAUGCUGAAAUUGCCCCCAUGCAUCCGUAUACUGGAUCUCUUAGUCUCACGUUUGCUUCGUAUACCAAACUAUUUGCAGCAUCAGCUCUUUGAUUCUCAGGGACCUCCUACAAAUUUCAAAGAAUUGAAGUAAACAAAACAAGAAUUGCAGUGUUUAAAUAGUUUCACAUAUUCAGAAGGAGUUCAAUUCGUUAAUAACUGUUUCCUAGGAUCAAAGAAAAAAUUGAAAAGGGAAGAGGAAAAGAAGGCGGAGAAGGAGGGUUUAUGUUGGACUAAUUUCUCGAUUCUUAUCUGAUAUCUAAGAUUAAAUGGUUUACUUACCAUGAGCAUCUUGGAAACGUUGCUAGCACCAAAAACUUUGUGAACAGCAGCAAAUUUCUGGGGUUCAUGUGGGGAAAAAUAAGGAGAAAAAGGGCAUUCUUCCGCACAUCUUCGUCUUAGCAGCUUACAAGCGGCACAUGGAGUAAUGGUAUUCAAGGUUCCUGGAGGACCUAACAUGUUUCUCCUUCCCAUCUGUGACGAUGCAUCGAAUUCUGUUUUCAACUUCUUUGCUAUCUCAUCUAAUCUCUCCCUGUAUAUACUUUUCCAAAAGAAAUAUAAGGGGAAAAAAACACUUAGAAACAGUUGCUUAAUUUCGGAUUACAGAAUCAAGGUUAUAUAUGUGCCUUAUCACCAUCUGGAUCAUACCUUUCUCUGGACAUCCAAGAAUGCUAGUGUAGGUCACGGCCGGCUUGCAAAUUAGAUGUGGGGAUGGGAUUGGGGGAAAGGACUAAAGGCGAGGGAGAGAAAGCUUCAACUUUCAAGUUUCAAGGGAGAGGAGGAGAAACGAAAAAGAAAAAAGAAAGAAACUAGUUGAGGGAAAAGAGGAGUGCUUAAAAGGCAAGGUAUCAGGAAAAAGUAGGUCAAUGUUUUUUCAUCACAAACUAACAAAUUAAGUGUAUCUGAGAUGGUGAAAUAUUAUACUCCAACCUUAAGAGCUAGAGUAAGAAUAGGGCGGCCUAAAUUAGAAGAUCGGGAGUGAUGAUGGAAAGAAGUGAUAAUCAAUACAUCAUUGAAUUUGAAGAUUUGGACAAAUUUUUACAUUGGCCCCCACGCUCCCUUAGGGGUGUUCCGUCAAAGCUAGCUUGCUUCCCCCACGUGUGACUUCAUACGGCUAUUGACUUUUUGACGGUAGCCAACUGGGGUUUCACCCAUAGCAAUGGACAGAUUUUCUUGUCUUAACAAAAUACGCUAUUCUUUUGUGUUUUUCAACAUCUAAUUUUAGACGUAAAGAAAACAUGAUGAUCGCUUUGAUGAAACAAAGAUGACUUAAUGUGAAGGUCUAGAUAUUAAAGGUAGAUUUAUUGAAGCAGGGUACUGCUAAAGAUUUAGUUCCUCCAGGCAAAAUCUUUUGGUUUGUUUUUUUUCCUAGUCCGGGUCGAUGUCCUAGAACCCACCUCUCAUGUGAUACACGUCGUGUCGCCUUGAGAAAUACAGCAAUGGACUUCACGAUCUGAAAUUUUCAGGCGAAGCACUCCUCCAAGCAACAGAGAAUUAAACCGUUCUCCUUGCAAAACGGUAGCAUUCGUUCAUUAGAUUCAUAAUUUGUAAUGUCAAGAAAUUGAUUAUACGAGGCUCUCCUCCUUUGUUAUACGAGGCAGAAAUCAGUGUCUAGCUAGAAGAAACUGGAGAAGAAUUUUAUGCUUUGAGAUAGACAUGUCAAAAAUACAUUUGCUUUUGGAACUUAUUAUUUUUAUUCUUUUAAUAGAUUUGCAGUAAAAAGCAGGAGUUUAAUAGUUGAGAGAUUUUCUGGGUAGUCGGCUUUCAAGGAAAAAAAAAAAAAAAAGAGUUGCUUCGGAAAUUCACUGCCAGUCGUCUAAAAGGUUUUGAAUUGCUUGACGGCGUUCACAAUUUAUACCUAAGCUAAACCCUCAAAACAGUCUAUUCUUGCGUAACUAUUGACUCGCAAAACGUGUUUAACAGUUUCAGCCACAGCCAAUAACUUGUACUAGCGCCAUCCACAUCUUUGAUCUAAGCUGUCAUUCGUGGGUGGCAUGUCAAGGUAAGAAAGGACAUAUACCCAGAAUCUUGUAAUGAACAAGGUUCUUAACUAACUUAUAUAUCUUUGAUCUUUAAUUACCCAAACAAAAAAAAAAAAAUCUAUCUGGGAAUUAGAUAUAUGAAGCGUAACAAAGUAGGACGCACGUCCACAUAUCCGAGGGCAUACAAUGGUUGAAGUUCUUGUAAGAAAAACAACCCUUUGGCUUGCAUGUACGCCCAUGAGGGGAAAAAAGAGAAGGUAAAACAUAGACUGUUGUUAGUGUAUAUCUACGAGAUUCCAUGUGUAUCGUUUGUUUCAUAUCAAAGGAAAGGAAGUAAAACCUACUUUGCUACAACAUGAAGCAAUACACAUACCUUCAAUGUUAAAGGCAACCUAAAAAGAAAAGAAAUUACCGUUCCGAGAUUUUUCUAAUUUUGGGUAAAUAAUUACUUUCAAGGUUAAAGUAUAUAUUAAACUUAAACAGUUUAUACUGUUCAAAGAAAACUAGAGAAAAAUUUUUAUAAUUGGCUUCAAUUAAUUAGUAUAUUGUUUUGUCGAGUUCUCUAAAACUCCCCAGUGUACAUGAUUCUAGUGAAGAGUAAAAUAGGUGGGCAAAAAAAAAAAAGAAAAAGAUGAGGGCACGUCCUGUGAGCGUCAAACUGGUGGGUUGAAGUUGGCCAGACAAAAACUCAACUCUCGCGAAAGUUGGCAUCACAGAGUAGGUGCAGAAAAGGAGAGAAACCAGUAAAGGGUAUAUAUGACCGGACAUAGAUGAGGAGUAGGGAAUGGAAAAUGGAGGGUUGGUUUUGGAGCAUUGGAAAGGAUAAACAAAUCUUCGUUACCCAUUUGCAUAUGCUUGCAAGUAGUAAAUAGUAAUGGAUAGUGUGAUGUAAAGACUUGCUUUAAAUGCAAGGCAAUGCAGCGAUGCGUUAUAUCGUUUGACCCGUAUUUUAAGCCGAGGAAAUCGCAACCUUGUUUCUUCCAAACACAUUACGGGUCUCUUUAGAAACUGAGGGCUUGUUUGAAACCUAGUUUUUUUAGAGUUUGUCUAAAACUUUACUGUAGUGCACUGUAGAAAUUUUUGAAAAAAUUUUAUAAAAAUUUUUUGUAAGGAGAAAAAUUUUGUAGAAGUUUUUGUAAGGUUAAAAACUUUUUUUUUUUCUUUCUCUUUCUCUUUCUCUUUCUCUUUCUUUCUUUCCUUCUUCUUUCUUCUUCUCUUCUUCUUCUUCUUCCCCUUCCCCGUUACCUCUGCCUCCAGCAGUGCCACAUCCCGCCACCCCCUGCUUUGCUUCUCCCCCUCUGCCCCGCCACCCCCUUUCUCUGCCAUCUCCUUUGCCCGCCUUCCCCCUCCCCCCGCCACCCUCUGCCCUCCCCUCUGCCCUUCCUCCUCCACCCCUCCCCCCGCAACUUCAAAACAGGCCCACCUUUCCCCUCUACCUCGCCACUCCCUCGCCACCUUCCCCUCCUCCCGUCACCCCCUUGGCCCCUUUCCCCUCCUUUAUUCCCCUUCCCGUUUACCAUCCCUGAAUCCCGCCACCCGUCAAAUUUUUUUUGGGGCAAAUCCCCUUUUUCCCUCUGUCCUCCCCUUUCCCGCCACCCUCCCUCAUGCUAUCUGGUCUCGCAACCUGAUCGGCCAGAGGGGAAGGGGAAGAGUGGUGGGGAAGGAGGGGGGAGAUGCAGAGAGAAAAAAAAAACUUGGGAAGAGGGAAAAAGGAAAAAAAAAAAACGGGGAGAGGGAAAAAGGAAAAAAAAAUCGGCACUAGAAAAGGUGAUCGGCGACGGAACCGGCGGCGGAGGUGGUGGCCGGUGACAGAGCAGGACGGUGAGGUAGUGGUGGGGGAGGAAGAAGAAGAAAAGGGGAAAGGAGUUUUUUUUUUUUGUGUUCUUGAUAUUUUAAGUGUGUGGGUUAAAAAAUUUUGAUAUGUUUUUGGAUUCCUGUAGUACAAGUUGUUAAAAAACUAGUAUAAUAAAAACUUGGUAAAAAUUUUUAGGAGUUUGUCUAAAACUUUACUGUAGCGUACUGUAGAAGUUUUUGUAAGGCGAAAAACUUUUUUUUCCUUUUCUUUUUUUCUUUCUUUUUCUCUUUCUCUUUCUUUUUUCUUUUCUUUCCUCUCUUCUUCUUCUUCUUCUUUCCCCCUCCCCCUUCCCCGUUACCUCCCAGCAGCAACUCCACCAAUGCCACUCCCGCCACCCAUCUCCUCCCUUUCCUCUUCUCCUCCCCUUCCUCUUCUUCUUCCCUCUGCCCUUCCCCGCCACUGCUCUCUGUUCACCAUCCCUUUCCUCUCCCCUUAGCCUGCCACCCCUCCUACUCACUCCUCCGCCACCCCCCUCUGCCCACCAUCCCUUUCCUCCCCUCUCCCCCGCCACCCCUUUGCCCGACCUCCUCCGCAUGCGUAUUAGCUAGAGCCAAACCCAAGCGCGCGCACCAAGCGUGCGCCUUAUCCACAGCGCGAUCCCCCUCGCUGUAGACGUAGCCCAGCAGCACCAGAUGCAGACGCAGCCCAGGCUCAGCCUUUCCUCUUCUCCACAACGCACCAGAUGCAGCCCAAGCUCGCGACCCAGCCGCAAUGCGCGUGCAAUCACGCGACCUCUGUGCCCCUGCUUGCCCCUACGCGUCCACAACUAGCAAGAGCACGCGACCAGGGCGCCUCUCAACAAGCCAAGCGCAUCUCCGCAGGAUGGGGACGAAAUGGCGGUGGUGGUCAACACCGGCAGUGGUGGUAGGUUAGGAAGGGGGAGGAAGAAGAAAAAAAGGGAAGGGAAUUUUUUUUUUUUUUUUGUGUUUUGGGUAUUUUGAAGUGUAUAGGUAAAAAACUUUGAGAAAUUUUUUGAGGUUCCUGUAGCAAAAGUUGUUAAAAAACUAGUAGGUAAAAAACUUGUCCAAAAACCUGGCUCCCAAACAGGCCAGUAUACAUUGGCCCCCUUAUACCUAUUUAUAUUUAACCAACUAGCUUCGACCACCACAUAUAUUGUAUAUUGUCGGGGGCCGAAGAUCAUAAAUUCAAAUCUUACUCUUCAUCAAAAUUGUCACUUAAUAUAUCUUCUAUUCAAUUUAUAUGGUUGUGUAAUGCAUUCGUAUGGUCCCCGUGAGUUUUUCGUGACCCUGUUAGGUCAAUCUCCCUAUAAUAGGUUAGAAUGGGAGUAGCAAUAAGAGUAUGUAUAGAUUUAAUUUGAGUAAGUAUUUAAAUGUAGAGAAGCUGUUUCUGUGCACUAAUAGAAUAAGUUACCUAUAAUUUAGAUUGGUUUACAGGCACCAAUUAGAAAAUUUUGUAUUGUUUUUAAUUAUUUCAUAAAUUAAUUUCAUCUCACAGACCAAAACUGUUAAGACUGGCAUCAACAGCCUCGACGAGAAUUACCUCUCAUUUGUUUCAGAUUCAACAUUACACAUUUAUUUUGAGAUUUACGCUAUGUAUUUUUUUUCCCUUUUUGGGGGGUUGCACAAACGCAUUCUGAAUUUCUGAUCAUUGGAUAAUUAUUGUGGAAAUAACACGUCAAACUUUAAAUUUAAAAUUGUUGCUAUUUUUCAGUGAAAUGUAUGGGCUCCCACGGACUCCACAGAAAGGGAUCGAACGGCCCUUUUGGUAAUUGUAUCAGAUGAGCAUACGAAAAGGAGAAAUUAUAUUUAACAGGUAGCAAGCGUCUGUCCUUGGCCCUUUGCAUUGUUAGGCCCGCAGAAUUGAUACGGACAAUUCUGGCCCACUAAUCCGGUCCAGUGGCACAGUCAAAAGAGAGAUUUAGGUGUCCGAGUUUGAUGUAUCACAAUAACAAGCCCACAUUGUAAACGGCAUUUUAUAGGUAAACGCCAUAGGACCUCUAUUUUUCUGAAUAGGUAAAUACAAAAGUAAUGAAUCCAAAUCAGAAGCUGCCGUCGACUGUUUGGGCUCCAUUUUUUGGAAUGUCCUCUCCCCAUUAUUCACGUGCUGUCCUGCUGCCUGUAUAUUGUACAACACACGAAUUGAAAAUCUGACAGCAGGUGGUCCGUCCAACUGCCAAAGCACUCGUACCGGUGUAAAAUUCAUAUCAGCUGGAUGUAUUGCUACUUGGAAAGCGGAAACCGACAAGAUCCUCACUACUACGCUGCAGCACAAAUCUGCCGAUCCGAGUAGAAUUAGAAUGCCGAUGGGGUUGUGCCCUAAACUUUUUGGUUUAAGAUUAAAUCUGUUUUUGCCUCUUAAAAUGUCAUCAUCCAGAAAUCUUGGAAUUAAACUUUAGUUUUUGAAUCUUAAUGAGAUCAAUAGUAGAUCAUCAUUUGAAUUAAGAUUGUGAUGCAGCAUUUUGGACUCUGAUGAAAUCCUGGAGUUUUUAUACAAAAUAUUUUGUCAUUCAGCUUUGAAUUGCAUAACCCCCCUUGGUGGGGCACCAAAUUUCGUUCUUGCUUAUGCCCUUAAUGGCAAUGCAAGACCUCAGAUCAACCUGCUUUUACUACAGACUGAAAUGCGAUUCUCAUAGGCUUUGCUUAGCCUUCCUUCAUUUCCGAAUUUCAGCUGGGCAAUUGAAGACACAGAAAUGAAAGAUGUCAACAGCAGCGUUACAAGAAAACUUUUCAUUUCAAGGUUUCCCGAAAAGAGAUCGAGCACAAUCUCUAAAUCAUAAUAAAAACUGAAGGAGAACUGGAAAGCAGAGCUGUAAUAACUUAUUAGUGAUUGCUAGUACUAUUAUGUUUCUUGAAAAUUACUAGUACAUGACAGUGCUAUCUUACAUGCUACCACAUACUUGAUUCCACACACACUUUUUUGGGCUGAAGAGCAGAUUUGUAGCAAUAAAUUGUACUAGUACGUAGCUUCCCAAAACAACAAGGGCUAUGAAGAAUCGAUCAUGCAGAUUCUUUUAGCAAUAAAUUGAGCAGAUUAGCAGAGCCGCGGCUCGGCGUAACACUAUUGGAGGAGCAACGGCCGCCUACACCGCCAAAGCAGAGACUUGAGACAUGGAAUACAUAUCCCUCGUCUUCAUCACCUUCAACAUCUUUCCUCCAUGAGUGAAAAGACAAUUUUCUACGUUGUUUCCCGCCUGCAGGCUUUGGAGUAAAAGGAGAUGAGCGAACUGAACGCGAAGAAGACCAUGGAGAGGAUGAAGAAGAAGAAAGACGACGACGGUGAGGAUGCGCAUUGCUCUUCUUGAUUACGUUCAGCUUAGGAAGAACAGUUUGCAAGAUGCUACUGGGGUUAGCAGUAGUAGGCGUAGGCGCCUCCGAUGGAUGCUUCUUUACAGAGAUCCUAGCAGGGCUGCAUAGGUAUGAAGGUGGAGGGGUGAGAGGAGGAAGCGGCCGCCUUUCCCUUUCGCUGAGCUUGACCUUAGGCGUUCCAGGUCGAGAUUCCCACCUGAAUGGGAUGCCGGCAGACGAAUCUGCAUAGUAGACUUCAUUAGAGGAGUUGCUCAUUGAUGGCUGCCUCAACAGAGUCCUAGAGCAAGAGGACAGUUUGGCCUCGGACUUGACUCUGAUGGGCUUUAUGGGAACAUCCGAGAUGCGCGUGUGCAUUUUCUCUUUCGAUUGCUUCUGCAAAAUGUCUGAUUAAGUUUCCUCAAUAAUAGAUGUUUGGAGGACGGGGAAGGGAAGAAGCAGACACCAGACUAUGAAUGUGAGUGCACCAUCUUUAUAUACAGUUAGAUUCCCAAUACAGACUUCGUAUUCUAUUUGCCCAGGGCUUUUUCUUUUUUGUCUUUAUUCCCUGUGCUUUGGUGCCCCGGUCAUAUCAUAUGGGCAAAGGUAUCACCAGGUAAGAAUACAGUAAUCUUUUUCUUUUUCUUUUUAGGGUUCAAAUCAAACUACGAUAAAGAAUACGGUAGUCCUAACUAGUGAAGUUAUAACAUAUUUUGUUUUGUUUUUUUUUUAUUUCUUUUAACCACAUUCGCUUUAAUCUAAUAUAAAUAAAUUACAAAUAAUAAACAGACCCUAUCUCUCUAAAUUUCAACUAGCUGCCUUCUCAUUUCUCAUUUAAAACCGCAUGGAGAGAGGUUCACGCAUAGGGUCGACGGUAGGCAAGGUAAAACUCAACAUCCCCAUGGGUACUCGAUCCAAAUCAUUUAGUUGGACGAUGGUGGAUAAUUCGUAAGGAUCUUAUGUGUGUACAUGUAUGUGUGUUUAGAAAGAAUCCAAAACCUCUACGUUGUAGAGUUUUAACCUUAAUUAUUAGAUUAAGAACUUCUCCGCAUAUGAGAUAAUUAUUUAAGUCUUUUUUUAAAAGACUAUAUAUUUACCCUUCAUAAAAUACCUAAUUUCUCUAUAAGCCUAUUCAAGUUAUAAAUUCAAUAAAAGUGUGUUGAUUUAACGUGAUAUGCAUUAAGUUUAGUUUUGAUAUAAGUUAAUUCCCUUAUUUUAAAACUAUUUAAAUUGGUAGGUAGAGGAUAUUCGAUGAUAAUCCAAACCUUAAGUGAGAGGAAUAUUUAAGGUAUCCGACCAACUGCCAUCCUUCCUAUCCAUGAAGCUUAAAAAGUUUCUUAACACAAUCCAAUCAUGUCCGAUAGAUAAAGAGUACAGAAGCAUACACGAAGGGGGAAAUUCAGCGACUAUCCAAGGAUAAUUUUUCAAGUCAACUUUUAUCAGAACAGGCAUGUUAUAGCUAUAAACCCGCUAAAUUGAUUGUAUGCGCAUCCAGUGGAAGAUGAAAUCAAAUCUGAGGAGUAAAUGGUUUGAAUUAAAAUGCAAGGCCGAGAUUUGUUCUAACCAUGGUUCGAAGUCUCGGCCGAGACCAAGACGACUCAGCCGAGUCGUCACCGCGACGGAUUGACUCGGCCGAGUCACACCAAGUUACUCCGAGUUAUUCCGAGUCAAGACGAGAAAUCAGCCGAGUCACACCGCGACGGAUUGACUUGGUCAUUUCUUUUGCUAUUUUUUAAUUAUUUUUAUUUAGCCUACUUUUUUUUAUAUUAUUAACAAUUUUUAGAAUAUUAAAUACUUUAAAAUUUACGUCUCACCGAGACCGCGAUAGAUAUGUCGAGACCGAUGUGCGAACGUUUCGGACCGCGCCGCGACCGCGACCGCGACCGCGACCGCGACCCUGACUUUAAACCAUGGUUCUAACUUCUACCUCGUAAGCAGGCAUAUGAAAAUGACGCCAUGCAUGUUUAGCCACAAUUUAUGGGGUGGCUGGCAUGUGAAUGUGAAACCUGCAAUCUCGACCCUGCCAUUGGAGUUGAAGAAUGCACGUGCAGUCGAUUGAAUUCGGAAUUUUCUAGAUUAGAGCACCUCCUAAAAUCUCGUGGAGUUUAAUACAGGCUUUGACUCCAUUGCUCUGCAAUGUAAUGCUGAAUUACCUGUGACUUGCUCAAUUAAUGCACCUUGACUGCCACUUUAUUUUUGCCAAUACAAACGUAUUGUAUUGAAAUUGAACCAAAUACAGAGAACUUUGUGGUUUGUGCCAUACGAAUCUUAAAAAUUCCCAGUCAUACUUUCUCAAAGCAGGGGACCCUCGUCAAAUAAUGACUUUCAUCGCAAUCAAAUCAAGGUUCUCAUCAUCAUUCUAACAAAUAAAUUAGUCUAUUUACUUUACCAGACUACUCAUUGGUACAUUGAACAACCUUGCUGGUAGAAUACAACGUGAUGAUACUGUAGAUCAUGCAGACGUAACUGCAAAAUACCUACUACUGCUAGUGGUAGAAGUGAUACAACAGACGACGGAGUGAAGUAAGAUGUUUUUGGUACACCAGCAUGCACGUAACCCAUGGUCACAAAGUUAGAAAAUGGAAAGUGAAGUUAUAGGAAAUGGAGAUUCAAAUUUGCCCCAAUCUGAAGUGAAUGGUAAAAAUGUAGCAGGCACCCUAAAACAAAUAUAGGAGCUCUUCAACACAAGUGUUUUUUUAAGUCUCGCAUUCCUGUUGAGUCAACUGGCUCGCUUGCAUAAAACAAAUACAUGUAUAAUUGUAAAGCAACAGCAUCUAACAUCUCACGGUGCACGGUGAAUGCACAAACUAUAUUUUUGUAUUAAGAUCAAAACAAUCGUGAUACUCUUGAGGAUCCAUGCAUCAAAGUGGACCGUCAAGAAGGUUUUGAUCUAAUGGUUAAAGCUGAGAUUUCAGAAAUUAGAGAUUCUAGAUUUAAUUUCUCCUUCUUCUCCCUGUUAAAGGAAUCAAAAAAAAAAAUUCACCAAUUAAAAGGAAUUAGAGAUUCUGGAUUUAAUUCCCCCUUCUUCUCCCUGCUUCUUAAAGUUCAUCACUUCCCUGUUAAAGGAACCAAAAAAAAAAAAAAAAUUGAAAGGCAAAGCCAACAUCUUUCCAAUGUUCUGUAGGUUGAGUAAUCAGGAUGAUCUUCUUCAGCAACGUAAAUAUUGCAAGAACAAAACCCAUCCUUGAAAUGGUGUAACUGAUCUCGGCUCUCAUUAUAAUCUCUCUCUUAAAUAACAUUGAACUAAGCUUAAUAGUUAAGCGGCAAGCUUUACAAGUUUGAAUUCUUGACUACACGGAGAGUCUCUCUCUCCUGAUGGUGCCAAAAGCAACAGCAAUCCUUUCACUGUGGUGUCUGGCUGCACUCUCUCCGUCUUCAUCACCGACGUCAUGAAGAACUGAAGUUAUAUUGGUCUGGCUGGUACCCUGUAGCCUCCUUUUCGAUUUCAUCCAGAAAUGAAUAAAUUUGUUGGAAGUUGGAACUGAGGAUGUGAAGUAUCCCCAGCUAGAAAUCGGUGUACAACAUUGCCUAUACCUCAAUUGAAAUACAUCCUGGGGUUUUACGUACUCCUCUGCCUCCAUCAUUAACUUCCGGCAUACAUUGACGUCACUUGAGUGAUGCACAUAGGCUCGAUAAAACACAUAGUAUAUAAUUUCCCCCAUCACGUGGAUCCACUUCCAAGAGAUUCUGAGUUAUUUAGUAUCUUUACAAUUUGACAUGCCUGGAGCAGACUUCUCCAGACCAUAGCAUUAGGCUUCAUGUGCUGCAUGGUCUUCGCAAGUUUUAGCGCUUCUUCCACAAAUCCAGAUCGACCCAAUAGGUCAACCAUGCAGCCGUAAUGUUCAACGCCAUGAAAGCUACACGCAGGUCGUGAGAAAUAACUUCUGCCCUCAAGAACCAAUCCCAGAGUGGCUACAUGCACAUAAAAAUCCAGCAGAGGCAAUGCCAUCUGGUUUCAUCCCUCCCUUCUCCAUUGAAACAAAAAUAUCUAUAGCCUCCUUUCCAUAACCAUGCGUGCCCAAGCCAGGUGACAGAAUUCCAGCAAAUAACGUUUUUCGCUUGAAGGCCAUGAAAGACAUUAAGGGCAGCUUCUACGCUCCCACAUUUCCAAUAUAUAUAUAUAUAUAUAUAUAUACUCCCUCCAUUUUUUAUAACUGACGUUUAAGGUUUUGCACACCAAUUAAGAAAAGUUUUUCAUUGUUUAAAUCUAUACACUACUUUUCUUUUGUACCCUCAUUAAUUGUCCAAUUCACUCAUGUUUUCUCUCACUAGAGUAUUGAAUGGUGCUGUUUUACUAGGCCAAAAGCAAAGAGAAGUAAUAAUUAUUAGGAGUAGUAAUUAAGAGCCAUGUAUUGAUAAAGAGAGAUAAAAGGGUAAAAUUGUGAAAAAAUAAUUAAUGCUGCAUGGGAAUAAUGCAACGACAGAUAAAAGUACUUAAGACAAAUUUCUUAAACGUCAGUUAUAAAAAAAGGGAGGGAGUAUAUAUAUAUAUAUCUAUUGUUUGUUACCGAUCGUCCGUCAACACAGUUGUCAUUCAAUGCAAAAAUCGGCAUAAUUCAUUGCUUUAAAUUUCCUUUAUAUAUUUGGUGUUGUUAUGUUCUAUAUAUGCGCAAGCAUCGAUGAGAAAAGGGCGAGCAUGAAUUCCCUUCAUGUUUGUUUUGUUCCUACUAUAUAGCUCCUCUUUUAAACACUUGGUGGCCCGUCAGGUUUUUAUUACUUUUAGUGAUCUAAUUAGAGGAAAUAUCACCGCAAUUUCUAACUCUACAAGCUUACAAGCUCAUGAUUAUCUUUCAUCUGUUUGUUUUGAUCUUUGCCUGAAUAAAUUCAAAAACAUAUAUAGGAGUAUCUGAUCAUUCUGAUCAACAAUUAAAGAUUUUCAGAUUUUCGCGUUACAACAAUGAAAAGUAGAAAAGCGACCGGCUUAUUUUCGCAUUGUAAAUUCAAGAAGUACCAGCAUACAAUUUUAUAAGGGUAAUGCUCCUACCAAAACAGCUCUUGCUUACAAAUUUGAUUCAUACUCAAUCCGACUUCUCAUAACUGGGUAGAAAGAUUACUGAGAUUCCAGAAUCAAACGUUCAUCUUAACAAAUGAAUAAAUUAUUAGGGAUAAAGAGUCAUGACCUUGAGUCUUUUACCUUGGUCUGGCUACGUGGCACCAUGCUGGGAAUUAUGUGCACUAAAGAUGAAAGUCAUUUGACUGUCUCUGUCUGUCUCCAUUCCUCCGACUCCCACGUGGGCUCAAACUCACCCCAGCACAAAUCCUACCUUUUCAAUUUUCUGAAUUCCCUCCGUCCCAUUUUGAUAGUCUUGUUUUCUUUUUUCGUCUGUCCCAAAUUGUAGUCCACUUUCCCAUUAAAAAUAUAGUAAUCUUUCAAAUUAUCUAAAAUACCCUUAUUAAAUAUCUUGUUAUUAAUACAUUGUUAUUAAAUAUUAACCCACUACAUUGAAUACAUUGAGCUUUUCCAAUACUAACCAUUAGCUGUAACUGAUAUUAAUUGGCACUCUUCGUGAUUAGCAUAAGGGUAUUUUAGAAAAUUAUUAAUCUAAAUUUAUGUUUCCAACCAAAUUAAUUACACUUUCUUAAUCUGUGUGAAAAAAAAACUAAAACUAACAAAACGGGACGGAGGGUAAUAAACGUAACCACUUGAUCACGGUUUCACCACCUGUCCUAACUCCUGUGUUCUUACUCGUCCAAACUUGCCAACCCCAUCAUUUCCUUCUCAAUGUUCCCGAUGCGUCCAUUUCUUUGUGUUUUCUUCACAUGACAAUGACAAUGAUGUAUCGCAUUUAUUUGAAUCAUAUAGUUCAGAGCCCAGUAUUUGUUGCAGCAUCCCAUUCUUCUGGUAAUUUACAGUCGAAGGAUGGGGAAACAUUUCUUGCUUUGACGUGUUGGGUGAAUUUUCCUGCGUUAGAGAUGCAGUUUUCUUAGUCUUUGCCGUUAUUACGAUUAUUAAUACAAACUAGCUUUAACUCAAUUGAGUGCAUUGGAGGAGGUUGACGGAUUUCUUAUUAUUAUUAAACAUCCUGAGCCGUAGCAUUUGAAAUCUUAAUGCAAUCAAAGAUUCAAAGUCAUAUGCAUGAAUAGUUGGUGUGUGACAGUUUCGGGCCAUAAAGCAUCAUAAUUAGCUUGCUCAAUUAAGUCAUGAGACAAUGAAUUAAGGACAUUUCUCUUCGUAAAUAAAAUAACAGGGAUUACUUGUUGCUGUGUAGUAGUAGAGAGAUUUUGAUUAUUCAAAGAGGCAUCUUUAAAUUUGGUCUUAAGUGAUUUGCCAAUCAACUUAGCAAGAAAUUAUCCCCUUUCAUGGAAUAUAAUGUUUUACUCUUCUUUUUUUUUUUUCUGUCAAGAGAUAGAAACACACGCACCCAAUUAGAUUAGAAACAUUCGAAAGAUUAGCGGUUAAAUAACACAGUAAAAAAUAAUUAAAAAAAAACUCAUAAGAAAUCCACGUCCAGCCAAUUAGUGAAUAUAAUGUUCUACUUCACCAUGAUUUCAGUCAUCUCAUCCCCAUCUUGGGCUAUAUAUCCCGAACACUACUAGCUAUUGACUUCACUUGAUAGUCAAAACUUGAUGAAAUUCAAGAAGUGUCAUGUGCAAUUAUCUUCAAAUUUUCCUUUUUUUUUUGUCUUUUCCCGUACCAUGUGAAAUAAUAAAUUGAAAUAAAAUCAUUGUCUAGACAAGUCAAUAUUGUUUUUCUUUCUUUUUUUUUUUAAGGCAACUCAAUAUUGUUAAUCUGCAUAUUUAGUUUAACUACAGUAAUGAGAUCAUAGGUACCCUGAAAGAACCGACCGGGUUGGGCGAUGUGGGUUCCAACAACUCCGGAAGAGUUCUUUAAGAUUCGUCUUUUAGUGCCUAGUGCUCCUGCAACAAAGAUGAUGAAAUUCAGGACAGAUUCCGGAUCUUGAGGACACCUCACGUGCCUUUAUCAUAGACGAGCCCACACGAGAAAUUUCCUCCUCCCGCUGUCUUCUAGUACAUCCAUCCUUGUUUUCGCACUUUCAUCCCAUAUAUGGUUGGCCACUUGUAUUCUUUUUCUUCCUCUUCUUAGUUUUCUUCUUCUUCUCUCUUCCCCUCUCUCUCUCUCUCUCUGUAUCAAGAAAGACCUUUCUUUUAGCCCGACAUCUUUCCAUUGUUUUUACAGUUGCAGAUUUUAUGUGGGGUCUUUCUAUCUCUGCUCAAAGAAAUAGAGAGGUAAGUGUCGGUUUUGGGGUCAAUUUUAUGGUGUCUACUACUAUUUGAUUAUUAUGUUUUUAUCGCAUUUCUACUAAACUGCUGGGAUGAGAUUAGUCAUGUUCAAUUUUUGAUCAGCUGAAAGUCCUUUUUGGAUUGUCUAUUUGUCUUAAUGGGGUGGAAAGCUUGAAUCUUGAUUGCAGAGCAACAGAGGAAGAAGGCUGAAAAUCCUUAGCCUGUUAAUUGGGGUUUAUAAGUUUCUGUUAUUAUUUUAGGCAACAUUGAGCAUGGUUUUUUCUGAUAUUCGUGUCCUUAUUUGUCCCAGUGUAAUACUGGGUGUGUAGAUUUGACUCGUGAUGAACAGGAAGGAUAUCUACGUGACAUGCAUAUGGGCUUGAGAACAACUUUAAUUAAUUUCAUAGUAAUUCUCCGAGAAAUGAAUUAUCUUGUUGAUUUUGUAGCAAUUAGAAAAUAAUAAUAUUUUCCUAAGAAUAUUAUUUGGCCACUAAAUCAUAAUCAUGAACGCUAACCAUGUUAGAGUUGCUUUGAAAUUGCCAAUUCCAUUAGUUCUUCUCUGAAUAUGUUGUCUACAGUAUGUAAUUACUCUCACAACCUUAAAUAUUAGACAAAAAUGGUCUUCAUGAUAAGCAUUUUUCAAAUGGAUAAUUGGUGAAAUUAUUGCCAUUGAGUGUACUGAUGCUUUUUGAGUGUUUCCUGUUCACUGGAAUUGGUGGAUGUCGAUUGCUCUUGACACUACAUUUUUGCAAUCUUUUUUUUUUAAAAUUUUUUCUAGCAGGGGACGGGUGGGAUUUAAGAAGCGGGGAGGGGACGGGGAUUUGCGAUCAUAUUGUUGUUCACUAUGUUAAUUCUUUUCAAUCAUACUGCAGUCUUAUCUCAUUGUAGAUAAACACAUACCUUAUCCUUCUUGUUCCACAGGCCUAAGGGUUAUCUGGUCUGGUGAUCGUACUUCUUGCUCUAUCUCAGCUUAAUCUUGAAGUGGCACCAAGUCAUUAAGUUGCUCAGCAACAUAUUCUUGGCAUUACCAGUUGAUCUUUGAAAGGGAGAAACCAGGGAAUGCAGAAAGAUGUGCUUGAGCAUCUCACAGCCUCCCUCCGAUGUUGACGAGGUUUUGACCUUUGCAAAUUCUCAUUCCUCCAUCCAUGAUGGUAUUGCUACCUUAGAUCAAAUAAUUGCAUCUAAUGCCAAAGGAAAACUUGGUCCAAGAAGUUUUAAAGUGCUGGUAUUAUUAAAGCAUGACAUAUGUGAGGACGGGUGAGCGAUAUCAAGUAUCUAACACUCCUGCUUACGCAAUUUAUGUACGGCAUCAACAGGAGAAAAAAUAUUUAAUCAAAUAACUGAUUUUGUAGCUUAAAAAUGGAAAAUACAGUGAGUGUAUUGAUGGAAAGAUACGAAUUAGGUAGAUUACUAGGACAAGGCACAUUUGCUAAGGUUUACUAUGGUAGGAUAUUAGUACUGGACAGAGUGUAGCCAUUAAAAUGAUAGAUAAGGAGAAAAUAUUGCGGGUUGGGCUUAUUGAUCAGAUCAAGCGAGAAAUAUCUGUUAUGAGACUUGUUAAGCACCCUAAUGUUGUUCAACUUUAUGAGGUCAUGGCCACUAAGACCAAGAUCUAUUUUGUAAUGGAAUAUGCCAAAGGGGCGAACUGUUUUACAAGGUUGCUAAAGGAAAGCUGAAGGAAGAUGUUGCACGAAGAUACUUUCAACAGCUGGUUAAUGCAGUUGAUUUCUGCCAUAGCAGGGGGUUUAUCAUCGGGAUUUGAAACCAGAAAACUUACUUCUAGAUGAGAAUGAAAAUCUGAAAAUAUCUGACUUUGGUUUAAGUGCCCUAGCUGAAUCAAAACGCCAAGAUGGGCUUCUUCACACCACUUGUGGUACUCCUGCAUAUGUUGCUCCUGAGGUCAUUAAUAGGAAAGGAUAUGAUGGGGCCAAAGCUGAUGUUUGGUCAUGUGGAGUGAUUUUAUUUGUUCUAUUGUCUGGUUAUCUUCCAUUUCAUGACUCAAAUUUGAUGGAGAUGUAUCGGAAGAUUGGCAAAGCAGAGUUCAAGUGCCCCAAUUGGUUUCCACCAGAAGUGCGCCGUCUGCUUUUGCGCAUAUUGGAUCCAAAUCCGAUACUAGAAUCUCAAUUGCAAAAAUCAAGGAUCAUCCUUGGUUUAAGGGGGAUUGAAUUCAAAAUUAGUCAAGCCCAAUAUAGAAAACAAGGAAGUUGCUUCUUCAAGUACAGAUGCAGGGACCAGAUCCCUUGAGAAUAGCAGUAGAGCCACUGAUGGCACACAAGACCUGUUGGCACUUACCAACCUAAAUGCGUUUGAUAUCAUCUCUUUUUCUGCUGGAUUUGAUCUAUCCAGACUGUUUGAAGAAAGUUCACGAAAGAAAGAAGCCAGAUUCACCUCUUGGCAACCAGCAGCUGUCAUAAUCUCAAAGCUGGAAGAAGUUGCCAAGCGUCUGAAGCUAAAGACAACAAAAAGGGAUCGGGGAUUGUUUAAACUUGAAGGAAAAAAAGAAGUAGAAAGGGAAUAUUGUCCAUUGAUGCGGAGAUCUUUGAGGUCACUCCUGAGUUUCAUUUGGUGGAGAUGAAGAAAUCAAGUGGAGAUACACUGGAAUAUCUGAAGAUAUUAGAUGACGGUCUACGACCUGGUCUGCAGGAUAUUGUCUGGGUUUGGCAAGGUGAACAAGAACGCAAGGAGUCAGAACAGCAGGAGCAGCAAAUUCAACAUCGACAGCUGGAAACCCAAGCUUCGGAGGACCAGCAACAGCAGCAGCAGCAGCCGCCGCAGCUGCUGAUACUGCAGGAUAAGUUACCUUGAGUCUGUCUUUGUAUUCCACAUUGUCAUGUAUUUUUACGGGUUCAAGGUGUCCCUUUUCCCCGACUCCAAAUCCCUUACUUUCGGUUGUAUGUUGCAUAUUAAUGCAUGUGUAAAUAUAGCCUAUGCAUUUGUAGACCAACGUCUCAAUCUUGAAGUAUUUUUAUGGGUACCUUCAACCAAUUGUUGCCACUGCAUACCACUGUUUAUGUUAAGGAAUCCCAGUUUUUAAUUUAUUUAUGGUGACUUUCAGGCCUUUUAUUCAUAUUAAGACAUUUUCCUUUGAACCAAUGGCAGGCCAAAUUUUUUUUUUUUUUAAAAAAAAGGACCUGACGGGCAGUAUUUGCUGUUUCAUGCACUGGGGCUAUAGUAUUAAUGGAUUCCGGGUUGAUAAGGAAUGAUCUGAUAUCCAUUAAUCAGUGUGCCUCGAGUAUCAGCCUUUCGUAGAAGAGUCUAAUCGGAUGUCCCACAAAUAGCUUUUUUUACAACUGAACAUAGACACAGCAACUAAAUUGGGCAAGAGCUAGUUUCCUUUUGUCCUUGCUGACGAAGUAAGAACAAUCCAGAAAUAACUCCUGUUUAGAGACGAAAUACUUCUCUGUAAGCAAACCGUAUGGUCUGGCCGAUUCAAUAGUUUGUCCUAGCUCUGAGGGAGAUUCGGUUCUCAAAUCUCAAUUUGGCUAGAAUUAUCCGGUUGAGGACAUUAUGCCAAUUUCUGCAGGUUUAUGACACAUGCAAGUAAAUGAAUAUAAAAUCUGAUAUUAUCAAUCAGACGUGGUCACGUCUUUCCAUGAACUUCAGUAGAAUACUGAUUUCCCUUUCGAGCACUAGUAUGAAGCACAAGUAUGUUACCACAUAACAUCUCAUUUUGACAACAACUGCUUAUGCUCUGGUUUUCAUGUCGUAUGGAAGAUCAUGCUUGGGGCACUCGAGAACAAGCUGGGCAGCCAAAAUGUCCUUUGGCUUGACAUUUGGUGCAUGAGAUGGAUAAUUCUUUGGACUUGACCCUGAAGGACUGGUAAGCACUAUCUACUGGAUUGAGACUGAACGGACCUCCUCGAGUGAUCGAACCAGAUCCCUUGCAUCUUGAGCAUGCUAUCAACCUCAAAUCACCACAUCUCUUGCACAUGCCCAAUGAACUGCUUGUCCAAGAAAAUGCACAAAGAAAUCUUACCGGUGUCAUUCAUCAAAUAGCUAGUCACUUCAAUUUCAGCUAGAAUAACACUUCCAUUUCUCUAAAUUGAAGUAGUAACUAGCUAAAGCUUUUCCUGAUGGUGGUUGCCAGAUUAUGGACGCUAUGUUUCACAGUGGUUGAACAAAAGCACACGUAAACAUUGGCAAAAACAAAUAGCCAUCAAAAAAAUUUACCAUGCAGAAUCACGAUUAGUACUAACAACCUCAUCCUUGUCAACCUACUCAUCUAGUAGGUUUUACAGCAGAGAUAGAGAGAGCAGAAUGUGACAUAUGAUAUAAGGCGAAAAAGGGGGAAAAAGAAAAUAUUACCUACGCUGGGAAGCUGCAAUUAAAGAGUCAAUCUUGGGAGCUGAAAUUGUGGCAAAAAGUAGCAAAGCACCAACACCAUACCCUGCUAUUUCAUUCGCGGUGACGUGCUCAAACAUUCUGUUGCGGUGAUCCUUUUUUAUGUUGCGACUAAGUUGUACCACGAACAGGUUCUGUCUGAUGACUGUAAUACUGAGAUAGGAACUUAAUUUCCGGCGAGGGAGAAGUCCGGGGCUUCUAGCUGCUGGUUGGAGGAGGCCGGGGAUGGCUACUGUGGUUUUUCUCUUUGCUCGUCUUCUGUAAGGCGCAAGCCCAUACUAUACUACUGUAUCAAAUACUGUGCCAUGCUGUGCAGCGUGUUGUCUGCGAUCUACACUAAAGAGAACGAUGGCCACAAGUCCAUCAUCCCUUAUCCACAACGCAAAAAAAAAAUGGUUGACUUCUUCGGUGAGGGAAGGUGAAACGGGGAUGGUGGGGUUUAGUUAUUUCUUGAAAUCCUAGGGGUGCAAAUGAAAUUAUGGCAAAACCUCGGGCUCUAAAUUUAGUUAAUCCUUCAUCAUUAUCAGGUUAUCAAUAUCGAUUUUGAUGGAAAUUCCCUGGUAAAUGAAUUAGUAAAUGUGAUUGAACCAGGCAAAAUCCUAUGCGCUGCAGAUUUCAUGUGAAAUGACCGCUUAAAAUAGUGAUAAAUUGUCAACUGUCGAGAACAACACUUGUCAAGGAAUUAAAUUGUCAGGAAUGACACUCAUCUAGCGAUCAGCUGUUGUAUAAAGCAGGAAUGCCAUUUUGCACUCACAUUCAUUCAGGUACCAUGGCAAACCCCCAGUAACAGAUCUCUACGAAAUCCAAUUUCCCUGGGUAAGAUUCAGAUGGAUGAAAAUAAGAAGUCGCAAAAUAAGUGUGUAAGAAACUCAAUUUAUUUCUGGAUCGCAUAUAUUAUUUGCAUCAUCCAGCAGUAAUUACAUUAUUCUAAGACAUAUUUCUGUAUUUAAACAAACAUGGGGAAUUGGUCAAGUCUAUUAUUUCAGGACAUCCAACAGAGAGUCUCUUCUUUAUUCCCUGUACUCACAUUGUAGCAAGGUGAGGGUGUAGACAAAUCUAUUACCUCAACUUCGGAUGAGGUGCAAGGGAGUUCAAAUUUAUUCAGAGUUACAUUUUGUACAGAUUGUUGCCUGGGCAGUUGAGGGUCUGCGACGUUAAAUUCAUCAUACAAUCUGAAUGUUCCUGUAUCUUCAGCAAUUCUUGUUGCGUUACUGCAGCCGAAGACCAGAAAGUCGUCGAGCUGGAAUGACUGCUUCUGGGCCUCUUCUUUGCUAAUUUGCAAGUUCUUUGGCAGUUCGAAGACGCUGCUUUCUGUUGACGUUUGUUGUUCGUGAGCAAUUGCUUCAGUCCAGUUAUACAGACCGAGAUUUUCAGUUUCUUUGAAGCCAUCUUGAACAAGUUCAAUAUUGCUCAGCGGUUGUGCAUCUGCUGAUCCAUCCUCUGCAGAUUCCUCAGAUCCACCACUGUGCUCACAGUCGUCACCCAGCAGGAUCCCAGUCAUCAUUUUCCCCCGCACAUAAAUUGCCCCCUGUAUAGCACGGAAGCUCAUCCAUAGAACCAAACUGUACCCUCGUUUGUUCCGGCAGGCUAGGGCAACCAGAUGCGAGCGUCAUGUAUUUUGUGGAAAAGUAGUUUACUGUGAGAUUUAAGCUGUACACAGGAGCAACACUUUAGCCAUCAGUAAAUAACCAAAAUUCAGUCAGUAUUUCAAGCUUAGCACGUCUAGGAAUCCUGUAAUACCUCUGCAAGAAGGAAGGGUGAGCAUAGUGUAGGCAAGUUUUAUCUUAUUUGCAAGCCCAGAAAGAGAUUUGAAGGUAGCAGCUGCUUUUCUUACCGCCAGUGAUCCUAGUGGAUGCUGCCAGGCCCACUCAACUGCAAUUCGAUUCAUUAGACAGCAAUUAGUAUGCUGCCUCAUUUCAUAAUUAAGGCAAAAAGAACUGGCUCUCAUGUUAACAUCAUUCUAGGCCCAUCAAUGAUAAAAAAAGUUGGUACUUGCUGUGGGUUGCAAAGCUAUUAGAAUUCAGAAGUGUAACUCAACAGAGAACUAUGGCACGAAGAGGGCAAAUCAGAGAGGAGAACAAAAGAUGGAGCUAAAAAGAACAAAUCUAUUGCAUAGAAUCCACAAUCUGCAAAACUGUCUUUGCCUACGCUAACCAAGCGGUCACAGAAAAAAACUCAUAAACACUAAUCUUACGUCCACUCACCAGUAUAGCACUCAAUUUAGCAGCUUAAAAUUUUUUAAAAAAAUGAACUUUAAAACAAAUAGUCCAAGGCGUGUCAACGACAUUUACAAAAGGUAACAUCUAACUCACUGCUAGUGCAACAGAAUUGAAUCGUGUAACAUGUACCUGGAGAGCGGCAACGUUGGUGGGGAAGCCAUAAAUGCAAAGGACCAUCUCCCACGGUCGCCUCUUUUGGUCCUCCAAGCACCGCUCCCUAUCUCCCCGUUGUGUUGCCUUAUUCUGCGACGAGGAUUCACUGUAAACCUACAGCACCCACCCAACACUCACGACAUUAAAUAUAUGCUAAAUUGUAUUCAAAGAAAAUUGAGAAACUUGGCAACCGAUCACUAAGCAAUUUCCCUGAUUCAAAACACUCCCAAGAUAAAGCUAGGGAACCAACUCAAGUUUCAAAAAUGGAUCCAGAAAUGACGGGGAUCCAAACCUGCUACAUACCCGAUAUAAGAGGAACCUUUGAAUCUUGGGGAAAGCGAAGUUAGUAGAUAUACGCGUAAAACUUGCUCCCUCCUUUUCCUGCUCUUUCUUCUUCUCCUCCUGCUUCACAUAAAGUCGGUGGCGUUUGAUCAUUUUCUCCUUGUUCGGGAUUAGGGUUUCCGGUGUUUCUUUUCGCCUUUCCUUCUCCCAUCUCUCUCCUCUCUCUGUUAUGGAUUUGCUAGCUAUCCUUUGGAUCAGGCGUAAUUCGACCGUUGUGAUUGGAUCAAUAUUUUGAAUUCUGCGUCCCUUUUUCCAAUAAGGAUCUGACUGGCUCCAAUAGCGGGCUAACGAACAUGAGAACCUUUUUUCCUGUUUACGCCUCACGAUUCCCAGUUUAAAAAGCCCAUAGUUCGUGUACCCUGUAAAUUUGGGUUUGAACCGGUUUGCUUUAUUUGUUAUUAAUUUUUUAAAAUACCCUCAUGGUCAACAUACUAGUGCAAUGGUUCUAAACUUUUUUUUUUUUUUCGCAACGAUAACAUUUGCCUACUCUAGCCUAAUCUAAGAAGAGAGGAACCCAACAGGAUCUUUCAAUCGAAGGAAGUCACAGUUAAGUGGCAAGGUGAGAAGCAAAGGUUAAACCUUACCUCCCACUCCCACUCCCACCGAGACUUAACAAGAGCCCAAGAGGCUGUUGGCUGCAAUGGUUCUAAACAAUUAACUCCUGAAUAUGUCUGUCCCGGAGAAAAAAAAAUUUUUGUUUGAAACAGCAGGGUAUCCGUAUGGAUGUCCAAUUUCAAUGUCAAAAUUGAAUUGAAAAACUUGCACUGCUCGGAUUCUGGAAGACUGGAACUCCAUUGUACGGCAGCGUCUGCGCAUGAAAUCUACAAGUCAAUCUGAGUUGCUUUUCUUGAAACACGCCAUCAUUAAUUGAUCAUAUCCGGUUUUAAGUUAAGGAUUCAAAUAAUUUGUACCAUCCGUCAUCUUCGUAUAGAUUCCUUCACCGGCUAGAUUUAAUCUAUGUUAAAGAGUGAAGGGAGGCAAAGCUUCGAUACUGGAAUUGCAGACAUUUUAACAAUUUUCACCCAGAAAAGUAACGUCAGAUGGCUCGGGUUUUGGGGUUCAACCGAAAACUUGUUUCAGCUAUUAAAGAAGGUUAAAAAGCAGACCAGAUAAAAUUAAUCGUAGCCCAUAUGAAUCAACCGGGGUUAAAAGAAAAAAAUUGAACCAGUCGAGUUCUGAACCCCUUAAACCUGAUGCCUCAGCCUUGCUAAGCAAACAGACCGGUAAGCAAUCAAAGGCAGGCUAAAAAUGUCAAGAAGAUUAUCUUCUUGAGUACUGAAAGCGAAAAUAUCCAGAGACAAGGACGAGAAAAAAGGCAGAACAUAAGAUGGCAUUGGUCAAGGAACAUGUCUGCACAAUGCCUCUUCCAAAAAAAGUUUAAAAACGUACCAACACCCAUUUAUUAACAGGAAGGGAUUCGAUUCUGUCUACAAAAUUAUUAAUGUCGUCCUUCACCCCUACAUUCAGCAGCCUGGACCAAGUAAUUCAUUUCACAAACUGACAUACGUUUCCUCCUAUAUUUCUGACAAUCCAUCCAUUGCACUAAUUUUUUCGGAGACAUUUUAUUAACGUUUUAAACCAAAUUGUGGAGAAUAAACCAAUCUUCUUUGCUCUAAUGUCAAGCAAAUCUUAGAUGUAUGGCAAUCCAUUUUCAGGCAUAAGAUCAAACAAAAACACACAUAUGCAAAUUUAAUUCCCAGUAUGUUCGAAAAGGAAUUCAUCUAUCUAAGUUUCAGCCUGUCAACAAGAUCCAUAAAGAUUACAAUUUCCUAAAACACGUUUUUGACCUUGCGAUGUUACAACAUAGAUGUACUUCAGAUAUACCAUUUGCUUGUAGAUGCCCAUUCCCAUCAAAGAAAGCAAACCCCUACAAACAUUACCAGCGCGAUGUCUUUAAUAGAAAAGGGGGUUAAACAGACAUGCUGUAACGUAAUCUACACAUCUGCUUGUGGACACAGUGACUAAUCUUAAAUAUGUUGACUACAACACUCGUAAUCAAUCACAAUUUAUCAAGAUGUUCAUCAGAAUGCGCCUGGUUUAACUGGAUCUUUGCAGCUCUUAGAGCCCUAAGAGGUCAACAAGAAAACAAUUGUAAAUGAUGUUUCCCAGAAGACAACCUUUACAAGCAAUGAUCCUAACAGAACAACUUUUACAAGUAAUUAUCCUAAUUUUCCUGUUGACAAGCUUCUUGCAUGAAUAAACGUUCUCAGAUACAAGACCAGAGAACAUUCAUAUCCAGUGAAAAGCUACAAAGUUUGACAAAUUUCCAAGACAUAAUGGAUCUCUACAUCUAUAAAGUUCGAAAAUCCAUAUACUCAAGAAAAGUCUUCUGAAGUUAUCCAGAGAUAGGAAAUCAACUAAGAUCUCUCAAUGUAAUAACAACUAGACACAUGCAAACCAUAUUUUGACAUGUAAAAGCUUCGUCUACAGGAAGAUUUACAAUAGGACAACUUACUAGGUCUUUUAUCAGCUUCAUACAGGAAAGAAGCAUCAAUAAGUGGAGUUUCCUUCUACCUAGUACACAACUGAACAAGUUCAGAAAAUGUUUAGAGGAACAAUUACUACCAAAGCAGCCAUAAGAUUGAGUUCUAAAGACGUUUAGCAUUAUUGACUAAUGGGUUUGAUUUCUGGUUAUCCAAAGCGAAUGAUCAAUCACUGAGGCUUAACUAAACUGAAGCCUCCAUCCAAACAUGUUCCUUCCAAAGUCAACCAACUUCGAUAUCAAGGAAGAAAGAGAACAUUGCUCAGGCUCAACUAGACAGUAAGUUCAAUAUAUCCAUAAACGGCCGACCAAGAAAGAAAUUCCCAACACACAACGAACAAGAAUAAUAUGCAUAUUAUUACGAAAAAUAACCUACAUUCCACACAGUAUUCUCGUGGUAUUUUCAUAACAGUAAAGCUUUACAAUUAAGAUGAUACAGACUCCUAAACUCGUAGCCCUAAUUGAAAAGCAAAAUUACAAAUGGAAAGCGAACACAGUCCAUAGCAUACAAUACAACAAGUGGAGUAACAAAUCACAAAACCUAAUCCCACCCAAUGAUCAACCUUUACCACCGGGAUCAUCAGUCGGCCUUUUCAGAAGCUGGAGAAGAGGACUCGGAGCCCACCAAAUUCCUCCACAAAUAUCUUCCACUUGCCAUGUCCACGCACGUCCAAAACCCUUUCCCAAUUGCCCCACAUACCUAUUAAUUCAGAAAGAGAGAAGGGGUUAAAAAUUUACAUAAACCCAAGAUAAUUAGACAAUAUGUAAAGAAAAGGAAAAAGGAUGAAAGUUAAAGGGGGAACCUUGGAGGAAAAAGGAGGAGACUUUGAGAGGUUAUCUGGGGAAUUGCAUUCUACAGUGUUUAGGGUGUCGGUGUCGGAGUCAAGAUCGGUGGUGGGUUGAGAUUUGAGAUUUCGGAAGACGAAGAAUCCGGCAAGAGUAGCAGACAGGAAGAUUAGGAUAAUUCUCAAUGGACACAUUCUUCUUUUUCUUUUUCCUUUGCUUUACUUUUCUUAGCCUAUCUUUUGUUUUUCUUCCCUCCUUUGCUGCUUUGCUUUGAGAGGUUUUGAAGAGAGAGAGAAAGAAAGACCGGGAAGCGCAGGCCCUUUCCGGAAGGAGGUGGGUAAGAAGAAAAGAUUUGGUCGCCACCUCCACACCAGCGACUUCUAAAUGAUCAAGUGGAUUCAUAUGAUCACAUAUUAUUUAUUAUUUAUAUAGAACAUUCUUUUUUUUUUUUUUUGGGUACGAAUUUAUGUAGAACAAUUAAUGAUCAUAUUAGAAUUUCCUAGGGUUAUCCAUAAAUCAUUAGUUGUUUAUAUUUUCAUAUUACUAGUAGUUAAUGCAUAGUAUGAUUGGGUCUGACUUUUCUUUAUUUGUGGAUUUGGUCUCACUCUCGGUGUUAAUUUGUUCAUGACAAAAAAUUUGAGAAAAUCUUUUGAGUAAUAAGUGCCUCAAGAACACCUUUUUUUAAAAAAAAAAAAAUCUUUUACUUAUACAUUACUAUCUUUUUCUAGAAUGGAAGUAUUCCCAAAAGGGAUGGCUUUCUAUUGGGAGGUAUGUAACUAUUAUAGACUUUAAUCUCAACUGAUUUAGUUUUUUUUUAAUUGGUGAGAAAGAAUUUAAAAAAAAAAAAAAAAAAAGAGGGAACAAAAAUUGCAAUGAUGGAGAUUGACUGGGAUGGCAUUCGCCUUUCUUUUUUUUUAAAUUUGAAAAAAAAAAAUUUGUUAUUCCACAACUACCAUAAUAAUUCUUUUCCAAGUGUUAGUUGGCGACUUUCCAUUAAUUCAUCUUGUAACAAAACGAAUUUGAAUGGAGUUGACAAAAUAGGGUAAUGGGAACCAAUCAGCUUCCAAGAACGUGUGCAUUUACCAGCAUGAUUUUGCUUGCUAGUAAUGGACAUGGAGGCCACCAAGGCAUAUCAGAACAGAAGUUGGCAGUCACGUAUGUCAAAAGCGCGGGAGAGAAGAAUAACAGCGUAGGCACGAAGACAAGUCGACGGGCAAGGGUUGACCCAUUCCGGAAAAAUCCCCGAUUACUUUCCUAACGCACACGCAGCUCAUUGAUUGGGGUUUAGGUGAACGACUCUCUAAAUUAAUUUAUCUUUCCUUAUUCUUCUUUUUUCCCCCCCCCCCCCCUUCCUUUUUCUCAAUUGGACAAAUUUAAUAGCGGAAAUUUCGUUCAUAAAACACAACAACCGUCUAUAAAAAGCAUGCAUGCAUAUUUUUUAGUGAAAUGGAGGUGGAGCUGCAUGAACACUGACCGAACCCAGUCAAUGGAGACUUUUUAGUGCAGUAGUGGGCAACUAUCUCCAAAUGGAACAAAUCCACACAAAUUGAAUUGAUUGACAAAAAAAUGCAUCAUCACCGCCAAUGGUCCACCCGUUGUUGAAUUUUAUGAACUUCUCACGUCACGCUCAUCAUUCAUCAAUAUGCUACACAGACACAACUUCAAUGAAAUAUGAUGAUGGUGAGUUGUAACAGCUCAACCAAAACUUUUGACAGAGCAUCACCAAUGAAUGAUAAUUCAAUUCCCUGCCCUCCUAAUAUCAUCAUUCUCUCACCUUAUCUCCAUUCCAGAAUUUUGCACCAUAAUCCUUUAGUGUAUCACGAAUUUAUCAUAACACUGCUGCUACUUUUACAUCAUCAUCUUGUUUUUUUAGACCAAAUAGAGUUAGUUUCAUGGAAGAGGUGAAUGUCAGAAUAUCAAAAGUUCAAAACAUUAGAAUCCAUUGUAGUUUUUAUGGAAAUUGAACGGAAUUAAAAUCACUACUGACUUUACCAUGAGCAGCUACGAUAUUAGUAUAAGUUUCUUCCUCUUGACCGAAUCUUGAUGAAGUAUUGGGGCUAAAAAGAGAACUUGAAUCUUGACUUUUUCACACUCGAAACUGUUCAGAAUUCAAACGCUCUUCAAUGACCUACAGCAACAAUUUCCAAUGCGCCUUCAACAUCUGCAACCAAAAUUUUUCUUGGUUAGACGUUCAACCAACAUAUCAGCAAUCUGCGGACAUUACAUGAGCCUUUAUUCAUUCACAUACCAACCAAUGUCAAGAGUCACUCAUAGAUCAAGACGACCAAAUUAGUCAAUGCCAUACUACUAAUAUGCUUGGAAAGUAAAGGUGCACUUGAGCAGUAUCUCCUAAGGCUUCACAAUGCGAGCAAUCUUAGCAAGAACCGUCCUUAAGCUUCGAAUACCAGCUCCAGUUUUUGAGCUUACCAUCAUCUGCAAUAAAUCCAAUGUCAAAAAAAACAGGGAUGCUUUUUCAGUGUGAUAAAUACAGGAUGAAAGAAGCUAGAUUUAUUUCAUGUUCACUAUUACCACAGGUUGAACCGCAGACUUUUUUCCUUGAGGUUCUGCAGCAAACAGAGAGAGCUUAUUUUAGUCUCAGCAAAGAGUAGAAAAACAUUUGGAAGUAAAAGGGGAAAUUAUUUCUGCUGCAUUUACCUCUUCUAUUUGCAUUGACCGACGUGCCACAUCAAUUGGGAAAACCAUAUCUGUCUUUGUCAAAACAAUCUGGUACUUGGUUUGCGACCUGCACAUUAACCAUACAGAAGAAAGUGGAUUUACAGGUUGAGCCAAAAUCUAACUUGAAAAAAGAUAUAUCCCUUUACAGAAACAACUAAUGACAGAGCAAGUCCAAGCUGAAACCUCAAAAACAUUCAUUAUGUGGAGCAAGUCCAAGGUGAAAACUAAAUUCUUGUAAAAAAUGUCAUCCACUAUUACACAUUUCCAUCAUAUCAAUAAGUUCAUGAUUGGAGUAAGUCCAAGGUGAGACCUCAUAAACAUUCAUAUAUGUGUCCUUUACAUUUUAUUUUCCUAAAACCACAAUUCUUGUAAAAAUCUCAUCUAACAAUUUGAAUAACAUGAGGGAAAGACCAAACCAAGCAGAAGAUGACUGUAUAGGGAGAAAUUUUUAAUGAGCAGAUAAUAUGCUUAUUGUACCUUUCCAUCAGAUCAAUAAGUUCAUGAUCCCUUGGUUUCAUUCCCCAUUUUGUAUCAACAAGAAGACACACUCUCUUUAGACCAACUCGUGUAGACACGUACUCUUUCACCUAGAGAUUGGAAGUAUAUUAAAGACAUUCAAACAAAGCAAAUUACAGCCAAGGUAACAAGGGAAUCAUACAGCUAUAACCCAGGAAAAGAAGAUCAUUGAUAUAGCUGCACUGCUGAAAAGGCAUUAUCUAGUUCAUGAACAAUGGCAACCAGCAAUUACUAAAACUUAGAUUUAAUAGAACAAGUAGGGUAAUUACCACAAAAUAUAACUUACAUUUAACAUUUCCAGCUAAAGACUACUAACAAAAAAAUUAUAUCUCUAACCCAUACCUUCAACCUUUCGCGUAUGAGCAUUUAAUAAGGCACUAAUUGAGAAGAAUGGAAAGAAUCCAGAACAGGAAAUGCAGUAUAAACUGCAGUUCCAUUUUAAGUGAGUACUAAAACGACUAUUAAAGUUCAAGGCAAUACCCUGCUUCAAACCAAUUUUUUUUUCAAACACCUAUGACCAAAAUAAUGCAUUGAACACUAAUUUUGCUAAAAAGUAAACAGUGGCAUAGUGUUCUAAAUGAUAAGUCUAAAUCUGAAUCAUAAUUGCGAAAUAUUCACAAUGACCUAACUCGUCAGUGAAUAAUUGCAACAAUUGUAUCUGGAUAAAACCAAGCAGACUAAAGAGUGGAAUAGGAAUUUGUAAAGAAGCUAAAAGCCAUUUGCAUACUCACAAGCUCCUCCCAAGCUUCCUUGACGUCUUCUUUUGCAUACGCAAAUCCGUAUCCAGGCAAAUCGACUAAAGAUAGCUUUGGUCCAAGUUUGAAGAAGUUUAUGGUCUACAUGAAAAACAUAAGCUGAUAAUAUGCAUGUGCAACUUUUAAGUUUAAUCCAAGGACGUCAUAAAUGUAACACCUGAGUAAGUCCAGGCUUGUCUGAUGUCCUCACAACACCCCACUGUCUAGUUAAUGCAUUCAGUAAAGAUGACUUUCCUACAUUCGACCUCCCUGAUAAAAAAUUGAGUUCAAUGAAACACUACAACUAUCAUAUUAUCAAAAUAGUCUCAAAGGCACAGCUCCAUAAAUUUACUAUACAACAAUGAAAUAACUAGAGCAACCUCAAUAGGCAUGAGAAACAUGAAAAAGUAAUAGUAAAGAGAACUGAAAAAAAGAAUUUUAAUGCAGAUAAGAGAAGUCAGCAAGAUUAUCUGACAGAAAGGAAAUAAAUAACACUCUUUCCUACAACCACUUCAAAAACAAUGUUUAAUUUCAUCAUGUUUGAGAAAAUACAGGAGCCAAAAAAGCAUAUAUCUUGUCUGACAUGCUAAAAAGUCAUACGAAACUAAUCUCAAACAGAACAUUCUCACAACAGAAACAUCGUAACCAAAAAGCUUUUGUCAUGUUAACAUAAAUUAGACAAGCAACUUUCAUCAUGCAAACCUAUGUGUCUUGUACAAUGGCUUUAAUGUGGAGCAGUAUGCAUUUGAUGUUUUCUCAUACAACUUACACAGUUGUUAUGUCCUAAUACAGUUCUAUGGUGCCAGCAGAAAGUGCACUCACCAUAUCAUAUAAACCCAUAUCAUCUUUACAUUAAUCAGCUACUGAAAGGCCAAUUUAUGGAUGACAAAAUUACUUUAUUCAAACCAUAAAUAAGCAGAAGAGUUCACAAAGAAGAUGAAAAAAAUUUUCCAUGAGAUUUACCUGCAAAUGCAAUCUCUGGAAGUUCAGAAGGAGGAAAUGAUGAGGAAAUCUUUGCAGCAGCAUAAAAUGUCAAUUUAUUUCUAAAUACCUGACCAGAAAAUUGAACCGAGACAGAGAAAAUCGAAAAAGUUAAUCCGCAGAAGUAAAUUCUUUCCUUGCAUAGUUAACACGGAUCCACCUAGCUAUGCUGUAUUUUCCUUCAACCCAUCCCUCAACAGAAAAGGAGUUCAAUACCAGUUAAAAACCCCAUGCAAUACAUGACAUAUGAACAUACCGUUUCUUCAAUCCUUUCCCUUUCAGAGCUUGAUGAAUAGGGAAUAUUGUCUAAAGGAGCAGAAAGCUCAGUAUUGUAGCCAGCCCUCCUAAAUUCAAUUUCUCGUCUUCGGCCUAAUAACUGUAUAAGAAUUGAAAAUCACUUUAUUCAUAAUUUUAUCUCUGAGUAGGCUAAGUAGAGUUUGACAAAAUAUAGACUUUGGUGUUAGUAUUCAAGCAUAGAACGUCUAAAUAGGUAAAUUACAUUGUCUUCGACAAAGGAAAGGAUAGAGGGGCUAGGAACUAUUGCUCGAAAUUGUGCAUUUCUGGACAACUCCAAAACACAAGUUUUUGAGUCAUCUUCCUUCUUCUUUUUAACCUGAUCUGGAAGGUAAACAAGAGAAUAAGUUAGAAAGAGAUGAACAACACUUGUAAACAGCUCAGAGUUCUAAAAAGAGCCAAGAUACAGAUUAUUAUGAAGACGUAUGAAUGCUUGAUCCAAAUGGAUGGGACAAACACACAUAGCUUGAAUCACAUAUAUAAUCAACAAUAGUUUUAAACUUCACCUAGCUCAGAUAAAAGGAUUUACUUACAAUUUCUGAGUUUCUGCAGCAAAUUUUGCAACUUCAGAAAGUAGGUAGAACCCACCUUAUCUAAUUCAAAAAGUUCAAGUUCAAAUUUCCUUUCAAGUAGUUUAAGUUCAAUUAGAGUGACUGAAUGACAUAUUGCGCUGCCAAGAGCAAGAAGCAGUAAUUUAGUCCUUAACCUGCACAAAUUUCACAUAGAGACAAUGGCUUGAUAUGGACAGCUAAUAAUUCUUCUUGUGUUUUCAACAAUGUAUACCAAUAUGUCUGUGAGUAUACCAAUAACUAUACCAAUAUGUCUUUCCCUUCCUUAAUUACCAGCACCAGCCCUAACAAUGUAAGUGGUCCUACAUUCCAAAUGUAUCCAGGAAAACCUAACUCAAUGUUAUUUGCAUGAACCCCGUUGACAUUAAAAUAUAAUAAGAAAGAGGGAAAUAGCGAUAAGCAUGUGCCUAAAGCAUCAUUUUGAUGAACAAAAAAUGAACCUAUAAAAAAAAUGACAUCUCAAGAUAUGUCUGUGGGUGUAUGUUCGCAUUAGUGUCGAGGGAGAGUGAGAAGGAGGAGACAAAGUGUAUCAAGUUACUGACUAUUAAUAGCUGCUCCAUCAUCGAGCCUCUUAUUUGAUGUAUCAUGAGGAUCUAGCCUGAUCCUUCGCUUUUUCUUCUUAGGCUUUUCAUCCAUUACUUCUGAAUCAUCAGUGAUAUUUUUCUUGUACUGCACUUUCUUCUUGGAAGGUCUUUCAGGAGAGCCGACAGCAUGUUUGCCAUGGUUCUGCUCCAUUUGCUUUGUUACGUCGGAUUUGCUUUUAGCAAUUUUCUUCAGCUUAUCAUUCCUAACUCCUUCAACUUCAACAUCUUUCAGUUUAUCUACAGCCUUUACCUUGGCUAUUGACUUUUUCUUGCCCGCCAACUCACUUUCCCUGGAUUUUCCUCUUCCAGCCAAUGAACCUUUUCUACUCAAAUCUCCAAACCCAGAGGAGUUUCCUUUUGUUGUCCGCUUUUCUUCAUGAUAAUGAUCAUUAAGCUUAUUCUUCACGAUUCUAGAUGAAAACCUUCUUGCUGGGAAUCCUACAUUGUCAUUGGACACUCUUUCCUCGUCUGGAGGCUGAUCAGCAUAAGUUCUUUUUCUUUUUUAUCAGAAUUCGAUGGCUUACAACCACUAUUUCCCUUAGUCACGUAUCCAUUGCUUACACCAUUAAUCUUUGAUUUGAAACUUCUUUUUCCAAACACCCCUUGCUUUGUCACUUUACUCUGACUAGGAUGAGAAGCACCUGUAGUUCUAUUCCCUCCAGUUUGAACCCUUUUACUUCUGCCAUUCCCUUUUGAUUCAGAAGCUAAUCUUCCAUUACUAGCACCAGAACCCCCAAAUGUUCGGUUUGCAGGUUUGAAAUUCUUCUCUUGCUUAUUAUUCUGCAGACUUCUGCCCAGAACCAUUGUCGAGAAGUUCUACAUACAUACCCUCAAAACCCACAAAACCCCAUUAAGAAAUCCUCUCUAGGACACAAUGUUAAGCCGCUACCUUGAAAGCCAACCUAUAUUAAACAAACAAACCAUUAAAUGCGCCAUUGAUGCUGGCACGUGAAUUGUUUGAUGGUUUGUCAGUGAGAGUGUGAAUAAAUAAAGUGCAGGGCAGCGACAAUUAGCAUAAAGGCAGCUUCCUCCAUAGGCACCAUACAAACGUAAUAUACAGGCAGCAGGCAAGCACAGUAUAACAAUGUGAAAAAAGUUACCUGCGAGCAUCUACAGAGUUUCUGGAAGGUUUGUUGAGUGCUUUUUCCGUUUUCAGUUUGCCGCUCUCUCGCGAGUUUGAUUACUCAGCCUUCACUCAUCAGAGUUAAUGAAACCACAAGGUAAGCGACGUCGUUGCUUAAGAUGCGGCCGUUAAGUUAACUCCGAAACCCACUCCGCAAGUUUUAUGUCGUGUCUGGACCCUAACUCGAGUCCAAUCAAGAAGGUGGACCGAAACAGGACGCUUUCAGAAAAAUGCUUAAUAACCCAAGCCAAGCUGAUAAUUAAGCCCUUAUAUUUUGUUCAAGCGAAAUGACGCUCGUGUCCGUAGAUUGGGGUACGAUGAACGAAUGUACUCAAGCCCAACACUCCUUUGUUUAAGGUUAUUUGUUUAUUUAUUUGAGAAUUAUUAAUGAUACUUUCACUAUCAUUUCUAUUAUAUGAUUUUUAUUUAUUAAAUUAUAUAAUAAAAUAAAUGGUAAAAGUGCCGUUAAUAAAAAUUGAAGUGUGAUUAAUAUUUUUAUAUUUUUAAACUUGACUUAUUUAUUUAUUGAGCCGAAUUCACGAGCUUUUAUUGAGUAUAAUUUAAAUCAAGCUCUAUUAGUUCAAAUAUUUAUGACGUAAGUCUCAAAUAUUUUGUUACUAAUUGAGUGAAGCAUAGCCUAAGUUUGAAAUUUUGUCAAACACAAAAUACCAUUCACAUUUAGUUUGUUUAGUGGACGAACAAAACUCAAACAACUUCUAACUAAGUUGAACUCGUUUGAGUAUCGCCUUAUUUAAUUCAUCUUUCAAUCCUAUAUGUGAAUGCAAAAAUGAGAGUAGACAGUGUCAAAAUUGAUAUUCUAUUAAAUUACAUAUAUUUGAGUUUUGUGUUUUGUAGUUACAUGUCCUUAAGUUUUGUAGUUUAUUUGGAAAUGCUUACAUAAUGCCCUCCCUGUGAAGGAUCACAUUCACAAGAAAGCAAGAUAAGGGAACCCAAUCUAGUCAGGCUACGGUGAGAAGUAAAAAACAGUAGAACAUAUGCUACUGCAGUGCAACAAACUUAGGAAAUAUGGAAAACGUCUCCAAUACAAUGGGAUGGCAUAAACAACUUGACAGAAUACUUUUCAUAAAUGGUGGACAGCAGUCAUGGAAGCUCAAGAAUCUAGAGCAGUGGCUGACCAGAUACCAUUGACAAUCAAUGUCCUUCGGCAAAUUUGAAAACCCAGAAAUGACAGGGAGUUCAACCACAAAGAAAAAGAACCUCACAGAGUAAUUGGAAAGGCACGAGUGGGAUGGAUGGAGUUCGACGAAACUAACCGGAAAAUUGAUCAUAGGGGAGCACUCGAGAAACAAGCAUAACAGGACUACCUUAAUGAUGAGGUCGAUGGUGUAACUCUGUAAGUUGAGUGAGUCAAGGUUCCGUUUGAUCCAAUGACAUGUACACGAGCUAAAAAGUUAAAUGAAUCUUUGCAAGCGUUGGUCAAGGUCGUCCAAGAGCGUGUCGGCGUGCCUAAAGCAAUUGAAGGUUUGGACAAUGCAUAGAUCGUUAAUGUGACCCGCCACCCUCAAGGAACAAGCAGGAAUAAGGAAGAUUGUUCAUCAAAAUACAUAUGCAACAGAGCAAGAAGCAACCGGAGGUUGGCAUUGGGAUCUUGGCAAGGAAUCAAUCAGAUCAACUGCAGGCUACUUGGGCAAUUAGAGAAAGGAAAACUGGAGACUCAGUGCAAUACCAAGCAGAAGCAGUCAAGAUGGUCAUAAUCAAAAAGCUGCAGACCAAAGAUGGACAAAUAUCUGAAUAGAGUUGGAAAGCAAGAAGCUGAUAAGUUAUGUUCAAAGUUCAUGUCUGAUCAUCAAGGAAGUCGAGUGGCUACAAUCAUUGAAGACAUGCAAUCCCUUAGUGCAUUGUUUUCACAGUACUCCUCCUUCCCCAUUCACAUAGAUAAGAAUGACAGGAUUGUUCAAAUUAGCAAAUAUACUCUCAACAUUUGUUGGUUAGAUGAAAAAUAGGUUAACCCCAAUCUUUAGUGGUAAAGUAUUGGAACAGAUGGUAGGACCUUUGCCCUUUUUGUUUGGACUAUUGUCCAUAUACUAUCAAUUUUGGCAAUACUAAUACAAGCUAUGGUUUCGGGAAAAAAAAAAAAGUUAAUAAAAUGUAAUGAAAACUUGUGAUAAAUCCAUGAUUAAAGGGUGACAGAAAAUGCAUCGACUCUUAUUACUUGUAAUUAAGACCACCAGGCUAAGGAUUUGGCAAAUCAUACAUGUCUGUGUAUGCAUAGAUUUGGAGAUUACAUUCAAAUUUCUUUUAAUUUUUAGAGGAACAAGCACGAAAUAUUUUCAAGCAUUGUCCAUGAACCAAUUAACUUCUGAAGAGAACAAUUCAACUAUUUACUAUGAUGCCGUGCUCUAAGAAGGUAAAAACUGGAAGUGAACAGUUGCAGGUUAUAUUAGUGUAUUUGGAUUGUAUAUUAUUUGGAAUAAUUUUUUGAAACAAAUAUUACAAUACUUUUUUUUUUUGAUAUAUGUGAGAUAGAAAGGUAACUGAAAAAUAUAUUGAUGAUACGAUGAAAUAAACUACAAUUCAAACAAACCAUUAGCCUCUUAUGAUGAAUUUUAUCGGUAUCAACAAAUGACAUACAAAUAUGAUUGUGUGUGUUUUUGUGUGUGUGUGUGUGUGUGUUUUUUUUUUUGAAAUUUUUUGCUGUUGAGGUGUAAUUGAAUUAGCGUCGUCAAUUAAAAAAACACAUCUUCAUUCAGAGAAUAUAUAUAUAUAUAUACCUAUCAACGUACAACUAAUUGCUCAAAAUUUUGCACCUGAUAAGCAUCGUGAAGUGCCAAUCCUUUUUUCCAGCACACCUCGUAGACCUGAUUGGUUAAUUGUAUGUCACUCGAAGCAAACGGUAAAAGUGAAGUCUCACGUAGAAAGGAUUAAAGAAUGAUAAUUCAUCUUUCUUGGCAAAAAGAGGAGUGGUUAAUUAGUGCUAUACUUAUUUACUAAUCAAAGUGCUCACCACUGCUUAAUUAUUGAGAGACUCGUGAUUGCUUAUUUGACAUCUGUCAGUGCGUUGCGUUUUUUUAAGAUUUGCAUAUUGCAGGACACGCAAUUAUGUAGAGUGUAAAGAUUCCAGUCCUAUUAUGCGCUCAAUAGAUGCCAAGUGAGAACAAAAUGGAAGCUGAUUAUUUAGCUGAUCUGUGAGAUUAUAACAGGUAGGUGUGAAAAUGGAUGUUUCCUGUUUAAUACUUAUUUAAUCGGCAUGCUAAUAUUUAAUUUUUCUUAUUUUUUAAAACAAAACCUUAAACACCUAAGCCAUAUCUCAAGCCUUAAAGUGUGAAUGUCGAUUCUGAAAGUGGGGAAAUACAUUCAAUAUGAAAGUAUUAUGAGGUACUUGUGUUGUGGACAUGAAUGUUUAAUUAAAAUCUAACAAUUAAGGCUCUGUUUAGAUUGCAUUUAUUUGAAUUUUUUUUAUAGAAAAAUUACUAUAACAAUUUGAUACAUGUGAGGUAAAAAGAUGAUUGAAAAAUGUGUUCACGAAAAAAGCAAUAAUUUUUUUUAGAAAAUUGCUUUCCAAAAUAUUUUUGAUACCGUCCUCUACGAAGGUAAAAGUGAGGAUGGGUUUAUUUGGAUAGAGUAUUAUUUAAAAUCUUAUUUGGAAUAAUUAUUGUAAUACUUUUUUGUGAUGUGAUGUAUGUGAGAUAAAAAGAUAACUACUCCUUCCGUCCCGUUUUGUUUGUCUUGAUUUUUUUUUCACACAGAUUAAGAAAGUGUAAUUAAUUUGGUUGGAAACAUAAAUUUAGAUUAAUAAUUUCCUAAAAUACCCUUACGCUAAUCACGAAGAGUGCCAAUUAAUAUCAGUUACAGCUAAUAGGUUAGUAUUGGAAAAGCUCAAUGUAUUCAAUGUAGUGGGUUAGUAUUUAAUAACAAUGUAUUAAUAACAAGAUAUUUAAUAAGGGUAUUUUAGAUAAUUUGAAAGAUUACUACAUUUCUUAAUGGGAAAGUGGACUACAAUUUGGGACAGACGAAAAAGGAAAAUAAGACUAUCAAAGUGGGACGGAGGGAGUAUAAAUAUAAAAAGGCGAAUUGGAAAAUGUGUUGAUGAUGUAGCGAAAUAUUUAAUUAUUUGAGAUAUUUGUGCCAUCCAAUGUUUCAAUUGGAGUUGAACUCUAUGAAUAAUAAUAAAAAAAAAAAAGUCGUCUAAAAGUGACAAACUGGAUCGCUUGCCAUGAAAUUUCCCCGACGUCACAUCAAGAAGAAGCCAGCAGAAUAGUGGACGACAUAGAUCAAUCAAAGGCAUAAGUGUCGACAUGGAUUAAAGGCACCCAGCGAUCGUUGUAUCUGCCUCUGGCAGCUUCCUUGCUGGGGCGGAUUCAGCGGACUUCCAUUCAUUCAACCAGCAGGGCCUGUACGUAAAGGGCCUAAACAGCGACAGAUGAGCAAAUUAGGUGCCAAAAUUCAACUAAUAGCAUUGAUUACAAUAGCAAAACAGUUGAACAAGCAUUUGCCUCAAAUCAGCUUAGAAAACUUGAAACCCACUCUUGGAAAAACUUAUUAAAAAGGUUCACUUCCGCUAACACAAAAUUGACCCGUCAAAGCAAGCAGACUAAUGAAAGCACGCUUGCAAAAACACAACAGUUAAUGUGUUUGCCAAAACAGCGACGGGAGUUAAUAUAUUAGCCAAAAUGAUUCAGUCGACUUUUAUUGAGAUGAUAGUAUGUACAGUGAGAAUCAAAUCGGACUUGGCAGUUGGCACAGCAUACAUUUGCCAGCUGCUUAAUAAUGGUGUAUACACUUUUGACAGAAUAAUACAGCACCAUAACUGGACGCUAAUCCAUUUCAUGCUUUAACGAGUCAUUUUUCUUCCCCAUGUAAGAGGCUCGACUCAAUAAAAUAAAUAAAUUAAUUUAAAAAAAAAACUAGUAGUAAAAAAUGGUUUAAAUCCUGCCUAGGUAAUUAUCGAUAAACCCAGACAAGAAUUACCUUCUUCCUCUUGUUUACAAUCAUGUACAGACAAACACGGACUCUAUAAUUAUGAUCAGCAAGAAGUAAAAUUUGUGUAAUGAUUAUGAAUCAUCAUUUGGGUUCACCCAAUUUGAAUACUCUUUUUCGCCAUUGGGUGCAAAGAAUCGUCGCUAGCAGCAACUAGAGCCAGAGGUUGAAGCUGCAACUCCAAUCCUGCUGGUGUUGCCCAGAAUUGCCGCUUAAUUCUCUUUUCCCAUAAUUCAUGAAAGAAUCCCGCAUCUCCGGCUCUUUUCUUGGCGUUCACGACUACCAUACUAUCAGUCAGCCGGAAAAACCUCCAAUCCAAUUACGAAUUUACCGCUAUCCCGGUGACCCUGUAACUCCACGCCCCAUUCCUUCUUUCUCUUCAACCUCGCGUUUUCCACCCCUUUUGCCACCUCCGACACCUCUCGAUGAUCUUCUCCGGAGAAUCUCUCCACGGCCAACCGGGCCGAGCUAUACGAUUCGUCGAACAGCCCGGAAAGGUCCAACCCGGAAGAUAACGAGAUUAGGUCAAAGGCGUUGAAACUCGUGGAACCUUGAAUCACCUGAUCAUCCUUAAUAACCUUGUCAUCAUUAAAUUCAACAAAAUCUUCCUCGUAAAACUUCCUCUCCUUGUACCCUUUCUUGAACCAAGGGUCUCGCUUGAUCUCCUCAAUAGUUAUCCUAGUCGCGGGAUUGGUGUCCAAAAGACGAGACAAAAACCGUUUGAGCUCGGAUGACAUCCAUUUAGGACAUCUAUACUCGCCUUGGUAGAUUUUCCUGUACAUGGCCAUCAGAUUUGGAUCGUUAAACGGCAAAUAACCCACCGUCAAAACGUACAAAAUCACCCCACAGGACCAAACGUCCACCUUAGCUCCGUCGUAUCCUUUCUUGCUCAAUAUUUCGGGUGCUACAUAAGCCGGGGUCCCGCAAAGCGUGUGCAGGAACCCAUCUUCUCUUACCUGGUCCGUCACGGCACUAAGCCCAAAAUCGGAAACCUUGAGAUCGCCGUUCUCGUCGAGUAAUAGAUUCUCAGGCUUUAAAUCCCGGUGGAAAACCCCGUAGAGAUGGCAGUAACCGACGGCGGAGAUCAGCUGCUGGAAAUAUUUACGGCCGAGAUUUUCCGAGAAGCGGCCCUUGGAAAUCUUCCCGAAUAAUUCGCCGCCUUUGACAAACUCCAUGACAAAAUAAAUCUUGGUUUUGGUGGCGAGUACUUCAUGGAGUCUAACGAUGUUGGGGUGGCGCAGCCGGCGCAUGAUGGAGAUUUCGCGCGUGAUAUUGGACAUCAAGGUGGUGCUGGAUACUUUCUUCUUGUUGAUGACUUUGAUGGCCACGCUUUGGCCAUUUCUGACGUCCCUAGCGUGGUACACCUUUGCAAAUGCGCCACAGCCCAGAAGUCGUCCGAUUUCGUAUUUGCCGAAUAACGGAGGUUCCGAUACGGCCGAAGCCGGAGGGACUUCCUCGAUCUCCGGCAUAGGGAUGCCUGGGUGAGCCAGAGACCGGCUGGGAAAGAUGUGUGAUUUGGGAGGAGGUUAUUAAGAAACGGAAGGAAUCGCCAAAAAUAGAAAUAGAAGGAAGUAAAAAUGGUGGAGAUUUAUAUUGGGCAGCUGGCAGGGCUGCAGCUUCGGCUGGCUUUCUAGUUUGCUUUGUUGUCGUAGUUGGUUGUGGACCUUGCGCUUGCGGCUGGCGCGUUUAAGAUCGUCCAAGUUUGAGAGAACAACCUCCGGAGAGUUUGAGUGGUCUCUAUAUAUACGUCAAUUUAUUUUUCCUUUAUUAGCUCGUAGUCGUAUAUAUGGAAAAUUGUUACUGCAUGAUUUGAUUUUCCUUUCUAUAAAUGAAAGUCUUGUGCUGGAAAGUGGGAGCGGUAUACAUAAGAAUACAAGUUGUCAAUAUCCUCCUUCUAUCUUUAUCUGAUUGCGUGGAAUAUUAAUUAGUUUUCCUUUGCUCGAGUCUGAUGAUUAAAGCACAUUUGACCGAAAAUGGUAAAUGAGUUCUGUUGUUGUUUCCCUUUGUUUGAAAAAUUGCUUUUACUUCUUUACCCAAAUUACAUAAUAUUAUUGUGUAGAUGCAUUUUUGUUUUUAAUAAUUAUAUAUUAAAAUAAAAACAUAAGUUGAAGCCACACCUUAGUAAUAAUCCUAUUACGUAUAACUCUAAAAAAAAAAAAAAUCACUUCAAAACUCUUGCCAUAAUAGUCAAAAAUGAAUCAAGAACAAAAUGGUACAAGAAUCCCUUAAAAAUAAAAUGAUAGAUAUAUUCUUUCUUCUAACACCCUAUCGAGCUUCCAGGAUAGAAAUCCUGUCGAAUUAUCAUACUAAGUAGGAGAUUAUUUGAGAUAAACUUUUUAAAUAUAUAUAUAUAUAUUGAAACACUUUUUUUAUGUGGUGUAUGUGAGAUAAAAGACAGUUAAAAAUAUGUUUAUAAUAAAAGUAAAUAAUUUUGUACAAAUAAUUUGCUAACCAAACACACGCAUUUUUAACUUGGGAUAUAAUUUUGCUUCAACUAAAUUCGUGUCGUGUGCAUGUAUGUGCGAAUGUAUAUACACGCACGCGUACACACAGACAUAUAUAUAUUAAAUCUUUUGAUCUAUCAAAAAAUCCUCUAAAUUUAACCUGUAAGCUUUAUAGAUAUUAAAAUGCCAAAUAAAUGAAUAUAUAAAAUUAGUAAUUGUACACUAACAUAGAAAAAGAAUGAAAUCUAAUAUAUAUAGUUUUUUUUUUCUUGGGGAAAAUAAAAUAGCUCUUGAUUUCAAUCAGAAGUGGAAAAUUGCGUAGUAUAUCACAAAGGAAUGUCAACUCAUCCGCUAGUAGCUAGUACCACCUCACUUUUUUUAUAACUGACAUUUAAGGUUUUACACAUCAAUUAAGAAAAGUUUUUUAUUACUUAAAUCUGUACACUACUUUCCUUUUGCACCCUCAUUAAUUGUCCAAUUCACCCACAUUUUCUCUCAUUAGAGUACUAAAUGGUGCUAUUUUAUUAGGUCAAAAGUAAUGCAAACUAACUCCCACCAAACUAGAGUAGUAAUUAAGAACCCUGUAUUGGAAAAGAGAGAUAAAAGGGUAAAAUUGUGAAAAAAUAAUUAAUACUGUAUAGAAAUAAUAAAAUGACAGAUAAAAAUAUACUAGAGCAAAUUUUUUAAACGUCAGUUAUAAAAAAAAAGGGAGGGAGUACCUUUUUUCUUUUUUUGCAUCAAAAUGUUGAACAUCAGACAAAACCUGAAGCUUCCGAGUAAGGAUUGAGGGUACAUAAUUAUUUUUUGCUUGACGUCAUGGACCUUUUAUCAUUAUUUUGUCAUUUCGACUUUCAAAAGAGUUGAACUUCCUCUGCCGCUGCGGCAGGGAAAGUGGUGGCUGCUCGGAGUGCGAUCUGAAUUCUGAAGUCAAAAACUCGAAAAUGGCCAUUGGGAUCGGUUACGGGCAGCAACACACGGUUGCCGCCAAAACCACACGCUGCUGAUUGCGUCGGCAAGAAACAAUAAUAGAAGCUAAAUUAUGAAUAUGAAGCGUGAUUGAUUCAUUCUACUUUUUAAUCAACCACAAACAGCUUUCUAAAAUGAUUAAAUUUUUUUUAAUUACUAUUAUAUGUCGCUAUCCAAACCAAACUUCCAACCAAUAAUUGAUUAAUACAGCAACACACACGGCCAGUCCAUCCCCUUUUUUUUCGGUGCUUGCGGUUCUUGCACGGCAGUACCGUACCAGCAUAAAGUAAGUAAAAGCAUUUGUGUGUAUUGAAUAUUAACGUAGAUUUUCUUUUUUCUUAAGCGGCGUGAACUGUGAAACGUGAAAUUCGUGUUACGCGGUACUAUUCCGUUCACGCGCAAGGAGACGUAUAGAAAUCAGAAACUUUUUGAGGGAAGAGCCAGAUGAUGGAGACCAAGUGAGGGGCUUACGCAAAUUGCAAAGGAGUUUUCACAUGAAUUUCGAACGUGACAGAAUGCUCGAGAGACCAGUGGACCAUUUCCCUCCUCAUCUUCAUCUGUUAAAAUCGAAGCAGCCCCCACCAUCACUCGAUCUCCAUUUAAGGGCUUCACUAUUAUUGUCUUCUACGACUGCGAUGGUAACUCAAAUACUUGAGGUUUCUCAAGUUGUUGAAAGAACGACUGCGAUGGUAACCGGAAAGCCCCGCCAUUUUUCUGCGUGAGCGAUCUUAGAUUAUGUUUUCAGAAGCCGAUCGAAUAUCGAUUCGAUCGAAUUCAGGGUCAGGGAUUAAUAAGUUUUGAUCGGAGUUGAAUCGGAUGACGUCAUGAAUAAAAAUUAUUUAAAAAUUAAAAUAUUAUAUAUACAAUAUAUAAUAACAUGUUAAUAUUAAUAAAGAUAUAUUCAUAUAUAUUUGAUGUUUUAAAUAUAUUUAACAAGAAAAUAUAAAUAAAUUAGAACAAUCAAGUAGUAAUUAUAUUAUUUAAUGAGCAUUAACAAGUUUAAAAUUAAAAUUAUGGAUUUAAUUGAAAAAUAACACCAAACUUUAAGAUAACAUUUACAAAGUAUGAAAUAUUUGAAGUAUAUUAGUAAUUUUUAGCAACCUAGGGGUCAAAACAUACUACUAAAAAUAUUUUGAUCUUUCCCAAAAAAAAAAAUAAUUUUUGACCGGUUCAUAUUUUUCCAGUCAAAUCGGGUCAACCCCACUUUUUGAUCUAGUUUGACUGAGUUUUUGAUUUUUCGAUUUUUAGGAUUAACUCGGACCAGAUAAUUGGCCGGCUCCCGAUUCGAGCGGUCCAGUCUGAUUUAAAAACACCCAUACGAGAGAGAACCUGAAAAUGAUAUGUUACACUUAUUUCUGGCUAUUUUUUUUCAAUAAACAAAAUAAUAUUCAGUAACUUGAAAAUAAAAAAAAUGUGGUAGUUAUUCGUAUGGAUACUUUAGAGGCGACGAAGCUAUUUGGUUUUCUGUGGUUUAGAUUUUUUCAACAAACUUCAAAAUUCAAAUUUAUUUUUUAAAAUUUUGAAUAAGCACAAACCCUAAAACUCUUCUUUUACAGUACUGUGUCAUCAUGUAUUUAAUCCAAGCGAAAGCAUCCUCCGAGUCUGAGUUCCCGUAAAUAUAAAAGUUUCAAGACUUCUUUAGACAUCGCCUUACCUUAAAAUUCCAAAUUUCUCCAAUAGACAAACUCAAAAAAUUCAAUUAUUAACAUUAGGACACUGUUUUAUACUCAAAAAAAAAAAAAAAAUUUCAAUUUUAACAUUAGGACACUAUUUUAUAAUCAAAGAGUGGUGGAGUUCCUACCUUAGAGCUCGACUGAGGGUGCGAUACUUCUAAUAAUACUAGUAGAGUUGGAAUGGUGCUAUCCUAUAAUGAGGACGUCGUGUAGCGUCAUCCUCCUCCGAAUAAGCUAAAUCUGCAAGUAGAUAUGUGAUCGUUGGUUGUACUUGGAUGAUGCUACUCCAGUUGGAAGACACAUGACAUGAUGCUCUAGCCGAUGUCCUAAAUGAAGCACCAGCAGGUUCAGGGCAUGUACAACUUAUUGCCGCAUUUGCACCUCCAGGCUUCAGGGUAGUACUCGGUCGUCACCGGCGUUCCAGGGGGCACCGGGACAUGGACCGGCCGACAUGGUGUGCAUCUACCGCACUUUGAUAUGCAUCGAGGAGGUGAUGAACCGGGACCGCCUAAAAGCUUCCUUCCCCCUGCAUCCAGGGAAUGCUUAAUCUCCACUGCUCCAUUCCUCUGCCCCAGCGUCUGCGCCUCCUGGAUCUGAGUUCCGAAACUUUGUCAAAAUCAGUAUUAAUACUCCACUUGUUAUUCGUGCUAGUGGGAUUUGUUAUGCUACUACUAUAUUAUGCGAUUUCUGUUGGGUUGUUUGAAAAAAAAAAAAAGAGGCUGGUCGGACCAUUCAGCGACGGAACCAGAAAUAAUUUGAGGGAGUGAAAUACAUACAUACCUACAUCAUGAAUAAUUUUUUUUUUAUAUACUGCCAGUGUAUGAUUUUUUUUUUUUAUACCAAUAGUUUUAAAUUAUGUCACGUAAUAUGUAUUAAAAUUUAAAAUUUAAAUCAUGUAUAUAUGAUAUAUUUCAAAGUUGUUAAGUGUAAAAAAAUCACUACACUAUCAACAUAUAAAAAAUUAAUCAUACACGCACACACAUAUACAUACAUGCAUAUAUAUAAACUUUGGAGUUUUUCUAAAAAUUGUUGGAGUGGGCAAAUAGCUUAAAAGUUAAAUGUACAUGGGAGUUUUUGGGCUGAAAACAAGCGGAUUUUGCAAACAACAUUGAUUCGACCUCUGUGGGUUUAAAAGUUGAGGCCUGCUAUUGGAAUCAUGGGCUCAACGGUGACUCGCACAAGUACCACAAGCUUUUAGUUCCCACUUGGGAGAACAAAGAAACAGUUCAAGUGCAUGAGCAAUCGCACAACUACAAAUGGCAAAUGGCAACCGCGUAGGAUAUGUAUAUCCCAUUGCCAUGUCUUUGAAUUUGCAUAGGCUAACUAUUAUCUCUUUCAAUUUUUUUUUUCUCUACUCUUUCGAUUUCAUCAGCUAUGUACAGGCUACAGCAGCGUUUUAUGAACACCUUCUUUCUCAGAUUUCGAGUCUUCCAAAACACAAUUGAGCAAUAAAAUUUCAUCGCAAUGGGUCGUAAAAGGCUAAAUAGCAGGCUAAACAACCAAGUGGCUCAGCGCACCAUAGGCCCAACCUACAUACAUCUAAUAUCGAUGGUUUCCCACAAGUCACACCAGCCUAGAAUUCAGAAAUGCUAUUUGGACCGAUUCAAGGUUACUGUGCUGCUGCUGCUGUACCCCACGUCCACAAUGAGAUUUUUUUUUCACCUGGGGGUGUCCGGGCCUUACGACCCAACUAAUUCCCUAAGGUCCGGGGAGAAGGCACCCAAUCUGAAUUCCGAGCGAGAUACUCCUGAGACUCGAACCAUGGUCGACAUACCUUAAAGAGGGACAUCAAAUCACUCGAGUUACCCCCAGGAGGGGUCGACAAUGGGAUUCACUGCUGCCAUUUAUAACGCCUUUUUAUUAUUCAUCUUAAAAAAGAAAACGUUUUACUAUUAUUGAGUCAAUAAAAUUCGUCAGUCAGUUAGGCCUAGAGACCACACAAAAUAUUACUCCUACUAUUAUUGUUCCGUCGGAUUGGAAGAUGAACUCAACGCAGAUUGCACAGUUCUGAAGGCCAAAUGAGAAUUUUCAUUUUCUGUAAGGAUGGUAAUUGAGACAGGGCCUCUUGCAGAACGAAACGAUGAAAGGAGGAGGAGGAGGGCAGCGGCUACACUGAAAUUCAGGCCGCUGUCAACCUCAAAAUCAGUCAGCUGGCGGGCCAGGGAUCACGAGGCGGAAGCAGAGAACAUGGCUCCGUUGAAUCCGCUGGUCAAGUUUCAACACAGAAGACCCUAGCUCCAGCCCACCGCCCCACAUGCAUUCCAAACACGACAAACGCCUAAAAAAAACACUCGGUACUACCUCAUCAUCCCUACAUAUCUUUUUCAUUUUUACUACUAUUAUUGUUUUUUUUUUUUGUUAUUAACGACACAGAGAGGAGGAAUAGGAUCUAAGAAACGGUGGUGAGAGAGGAGGGAGCAAAGAAUUUUGAACCCCCUCUACUUUUUUAAACUUAUAAUUUUAGCUACUAUAAAUUAACCUAUCUUCAACACAAAUUGUUUCUCUUCCAUAAACUAAGAAUGUUUUUUGUAAUGUGAACGUGCGUGUGAGAUAGAAAGAUAAUUGAAAAGUUAAAAAUAAAAAUUGAUUGAAAAGCAUGCUUGUGAUUAUAAGAAAAAUGAUGUUAAAAAAAAUAUUGAUAUCCACUAAUACCAGUUCUUAGAAUUCGAGCCAAAAAAAAAUAUGCAGAAAAAUUUUGGCAUCCAAAUCCAAUAGUACUGGUACUUUAAUUCUUUCAACAGUGAUCAAUGUGAAGGUACGUGGUGGAUGGCCAUAAAGGGCAAAAAGGGUGGCACUCCAACUUUAUAUGGUCAAGUCAAGCUGCACGAAGCGGAGCAUAGACCAAGCAAGCUAGCACACUUUGAGUGAACGGGGAUUUCCAGGAACAAUUUAUUGUUUGGCGAUCCGAAGGGUCAGCCAUUUAGCAUCAAGGAAAACCUGGCUACAUCCUAGACUCCAUUUAUACAUUCGCUUCACAUAGCUAGGUGUAAUUCAGCUAUCUAAAUUAUGGAGUCCUAAUCCCCUGCAAGCUUCAACUUUCAGUUUCAGACGAUGAGAAUUCUUCUUCAGGUGAACCAUUGUGCUCGGAGGAAUUCAUUUGAUUCACAAGAUUAACGACCCUCUUGCCCUGGCCCAAGAAUUUGCAAUUUACUUCCUUGAUUUACUACUCCGGUGCAGUAAAUCCAUAUUCAAUUCUGAUUCUGUAAAAAUUUGUUAUACCAAUUGGGGACUGCCUGCCUACAAUUCUCCGUUUGUUCAUUGUCUAGACUCUAGUGCAAAGUAAAUAUUAGAGAGACAGUUAGCGCCACCCACCUGGAGCUGAAGUGAAAAUCAGCUUUACUAGUCAGCAGGGACCUGGAACCUGGAGAGGAAGACAAAAGAACCAGCCAAGCCCAUGAAUUACAUAGUUGCAGAGACUAAAGAAACCAAUAUCUCCCAAAAAAAAAAAAAAAAAAUAAAAUGGGAACACAGAAAGAAUUCAGUUGUCAGUUACGGCAGGCACAAUCAUCAUCCAAACCAUCAUCACAUAAAUUUUACAACAAAAAUUCAUGCAAAUAAUUGCAUCGUUUGUAGGAUUACUAAUAAGGCUGAUCCCUUACCUGGAGGAACAUUCGGUGAUGCUGGCAAGCAUUGCAAGGAGUGAUAUAAGGGCGAUGGAAACGAGGUACAUAAGAAGCCUUGUGUUCGUCAACUUGAGACUAUUCAGCUUCCAAUACUCCAUCUCUUUCAUUUGAAGCAAGCCCAGAACGAAAAAUCAAACUCGGAUGGAGGUGAAGCAAGCAACAAGUGGAAGGAACUGAAUCAAGAUUAAUUAAUAUCUUCCGAAGGCUAACCCUGUGCUGCCAAUUGAUCAGGCUCCGAUUAAUUUCUCCAGUCCCACCCCAUGCAACAACUCUUACGCAGCAGAAUCAUUCCUAUACAGCACAAUUCAACUCUUCUGGUCACGUCAAGUCCCUUUCCUCCUGCAGACAAACUACUCUUCCCUUUGGGCCCUCUUCUUCUUAGUUUGCAAAGGUUUCAGGUCUUCUUCUUGGAUCCAACCGGGAAUCCUAGAUAGCUUAAUAGUGGGAGUAGUUGACAAGUGUAGGUACAAGAUAAUGCUGAAAGAAGGGCUCGCCUUGGUUUGGGGUGGGCCUGGAGGACUGAGGAGGUUUCCGAGGAACUAAACAGACGGUGUUUUCCUCUGCUUUGCCAUAUUUAGGCCACAGAUUCUUUUGCCAGUCUUUUCUUCACUGUACUUCACCGAUUCCUAUUCCCAGUAAAAGUCUAACUAAAAACCCCCAAAAAAUACUCUCUAUUAUCUCUCAAACCUCUGCUAGCUCUCUGCUGCAACAGCUCUCAUCACCCUCUCUCUCUCUCUCUCUCUCUCUCUCUCCCUUUUUCCUAAGAUCUGAAUAUAUCCAUGCGUGUACGAUGUUAAUACUUGUGUUUGUUGCUAGGCGAACAUUUAGCACCAGUGUUAUAGAACCAUGCAGAGUAUGCUACACAGGAUUGGCGUAAUGCCUCAAUGAUUCUCUGCUAUAGGACCAUUUAUAUCCUGCAAUGGAGUUGCAGUGGUUUGGUGCAACUUGUUAGUCAGUGUUGGGCAUGUCAAUUGGUGGGUUUGGACUAGAUCUACUUGAUUAAGACUCAGAAUCACCAAAUUUAUCAACACCCGGACCCGGAUCUAGACCUUCAUGGGGUCUCGAAAACAAAAUCUAGAUCUACAUCCUUGUGGAUUUUGGUACGUAAUGAGUAUCUAUAGGUAUCUCUAAUUGUGUAAUUAAGAGGUUUAAUUCAAAAACAGCAAAAAAAAAAUAUGAAUUCAAAGAUAACUAAAAAUGCAGUCCAAUUAUAUUUUCAAAUUACGGAAUCAAUUCAAGAGUGUUGCGUGCAAAAAAUAUGAACUGAAAGAAUGAAUUGUGAUCAAUUUUCAUAGAGUAUGGAUCAGAAUAGUAUUUGAUUUGAAAAAUCAAAUCCAAACAAGAAGUGCUCCGUUGCAGGAUGAUAAGUUUGAUUAAUAUCCGACUCGUUAACAUGCCUAAUCAUUAGUUUUUUAUUUCGACAAUUCUUUUUUUGUUUCUUUUCCUUCCGAUUGGAAGACACAGAAAUUUUUGAAGAGAUGCGCCAACGUGCAUUUCUUGACCCAAGGUAACACUCCCUGCACUGGCUCCAAACCGAUGCCAUCCUCCCUAAUCCAAUCUUCUCACCUCUCAGCGUUCGAUUAGCCAUCUGUCAAUUUGUUGCGUAUUAUCUUUUUUUGCACAUUUUAUUUCACGUGGUUUUUUUUUCAUAAGAUUACUUAAUUCAGCCACUUUAUGAAAAUUUCCGAUUGUUUUAAUUUGAUAGUGCUGUUUCCAAAAGUACCUGCCAGUUGAAAAAGCGUAGAAGAGUUUUAAGGAGUAGAAGAAUAGAUGUGCAAAUAAAACGAGUCGAUCUUGAGCAGUGCAUACUUGAACUCGAUUUUGACUUAAUAUAGCACUACUCAAGAUUGAACUCGACUGAUCGAACUUGAAAUUCUACAAAUCGAGAACGAUUUGUUGAUGUUUAAAGAUGUUGGAGUUCGACUCAUUGGUUCGAACAAACUGAAGCCCAAUCGAGCUAGAUAUAUUGAAUUCAAUUAGAAAAGGAGAUAUUUUGAAAAUUUAUAAGAAUUUAAUGCCUAUAUAUGUAAUUUACUAUACACAAAUAUAAUAUUGUAUGUAUUAUAAAUAUAUUUUUUAUAUAUUGUAUGUAUUGCUUGAUAAGACUCAACAAGCUAUCGACCUUAACUAAAAAUAAUCGAUGCUCAUUCGUUUGGUUAAACGAGCCAUUUGAGAUCGACUCAAACUCAGUCAAUGCAAUGAAACGAGCCGCUUGAGGUCGAAUUGAAUUCGGUUAAUUCUAAGUUAAGUAGAUUGUUUAAUCGAUCAGUUUGUGAGCAGUUCACGAGCCGCUCAAUUCAUUUACACCUAUAAAAAAAGCAAUGUGUAAAGAGCUCGAACCAAAAGAACAUGUUUGAUCUCACAAGCCACUCGAUUCGUUUGCACACCAUAGAAGAAGCAAUGUGUAAAGAGCUCGAACCAAAAGGAUACGUUUGGUUUGGAACAUAAAUCCAGCAAUCGACCCUGCUAAUAAGCAGAAGCCACGAAUUCAUGAGUUGUUAAAAUUAUGUCUACCAACGGAUUUGAUGGCAUCCUAGCUGACAGCCGGACCCUUUUCGGCCCCUUUCUUAUUCCCAUCAAUGUUGAGGUUUGACUAGUAUUAAAGACAAAUGACUAUAUGUGCACGAGAUAAUUCGGUAAGCAACGCAAGAAUGUGAGACAUCAAAAUUCCCUGGAAGAAUACUUUUUACUCUUAAGAGUACGCUGAAAAUAUUCCUGUUAAAUCAGAAAUAUGAUGAUAUCCCACCACGUAUGAUUAGUUUACUGGCCUUAAUUAGGCUUGUGUACAAUACAAUGUCAAUCAAUCGCUUGCCUAUAUUUCAUGUUCAUCCAAAAAGAACCAGGUGACAAAAUAUCUGUCCACUAAUAAUUAACUGAUUUGCUGCAGGCAGGUUCUGUCUCACAUUAGACUGUGAAAAGUACUAGUAUUACGAAUGAUCAUGGAAAUUCAAGGGAAUAAUAUCAAGAUAAUUAGAAUUAGAGAUGCAUGCAAAGGGUUUGACAGCGGAAUUAAUUGAAUGAUUAGGCUAACAGGACAAUCGGUCGUCCGGUAAUACACUAAUUACGUAACUUUUCAUGCCUGUACACUCGUUAAAUGCUUAGUUUAAAUUAGUUGCAGGUUUAGCAACUAAUAAUACUGUAAGACAGUAGUAGUACACAAUAAUAUCCACUGAUGGAGGUGUCGCAACUUGCAACAUUCUGAAACCCUAGAGGGAGGGAGGGGUGGUUUCUCUGAUCAAAAAGCAGAGCAGAUGGCAGAAAACACCCAUCACUCUCUAAUCUCUGUCCUCCGUCACUUCCCGUAGAUUCCAGAAUGCAAGGGGGCUGGGGGCAAAGGCUUUUACUACAACUUAAAAUUAGAACACAUGUAGUUCUUGGAAUUGAUUGGGGUCCCAAAGUUACCACAAAAAAAAAGGCAUUAUGGCAUGAUUUCGCACCCGCUUGUUGAGUCCAACUCGAACGUACCUUAACUGGCACAUAUCAUGUCCAAAUCAUUAACACCAUUUCCUUGUUCUCUGGCUUUAAAGGUGGUAGAAGUUUGUACCAUAUUGGUUAUUACAUCACUGUACUUUCACUUGAGUUCCUGAUAAAUCAAGUGCAGGGGCAUUCCUUUUUUCGUUUUAGUUUCGUUAAUAAAAUCAAGCAACUAGUGAAAUGAAUUGGUGACUCUCACAGCUUGAUUGAGUUUGUAUAAAGCUGCAGUUCCAUGUAGCUGCUUGAAGCAGCUCAAGUUGAUUUACUGGAACGGCUGCUCUCUUGUCAUAAAUGGAAUCCUUCCAUUUUUUUUGGGGGGGGGGGGGGGGGGGAAGGGGAGGAACCAAAAGCUAGAGCUCAACAUUCAAAUAGAACCCUUACUAUGAUUGUUAAUGGCUACUCGAAAUGCAGUUUCAAUACUGACUACACCAUUAGAUGUACCAAACUUUUGAAGAAAAGUGGGCGUAUCAAACUUUUACAGUGACUAAAAGUCGUCCUGUAAAAAUUUGAAGUUACACCAGCAUCUUCUUCACAUCACCAAUUUCCGUUUGUGAUUGAAGAUGGAAGGAGAGUGGGCAGAGAUUGUUGAAGCUUCGCAGUGAGGGGGAGUUAUUCGGCCCAUGGUGACAAAUCUCGCGACAACGAAAGCACCUCAAGCAUCGCCAUCGUCAGAGAAAAGAUGUCGCAUAUUAGUGAGAAAGGCUUCGGUGAGUUGUCGGAAUUGCUGAGCCAUUCGUGCAUGUGUCAACUGUCAAGUGCCUUUGUUUUGUCUCCACCAAUGUGAAGACCCGUAUUCACUUGCUCAUUACCAAUUUAAUUUAUGAAAAAUAUUUUAAUAGCAUCACAUUCAUUGUAAAUUGGCACACAUUGAACAUCAAAAGUUAUAAGCAUAUAAUUUUAAAAUUUUGUUAAUCAUUAUGUUUUAUAGUUUAGGAUUUUAAGAAUUGGCGAAAAACGUGUAAAAAUCAAGAGUAAAAAUACUUAAAAUACAAAGAUAAAAAAUAUUUAAAAAAAUAGUUGCUUAGAGUAAUUUGUACUUCUAGCAACUAUAAUAUUAUUAUGUGUCAGUUUAUCAAGUGCCCAUCCGCCACUCGUUAAAGUAUAUUUUAAAAAUGUAAGAUUAAUUAGAGAAAGUAAAUAAAUACAAAAGAGUAGUGAAGAUUAAAGGGAAAAUGAUCGUUUCAUCCUUCACAUUUCACAAAAAUAUUCUUUUCGUCCCUCAUUUUUUAAAACGAAGCAAUUUCGUCAUUGACAUUUAAAAAUUGAAGUUAUUACAUCUUUGAAUCCAAAUUUCAAUCUGAAUUGAACCACCAAUCAACAUGAUUACAAAUUUUGGGAGUGUAAUUGGUAGAUCACUUGGUUAACUCAACUUGAUAUUCAUAUGAAAUUUAAUAAACCUAAAAAUAAAAAUAAAAAAUUAUAACCAUAAAAAGAAUAAUUAAUCUUUCCUACAUUAUAAUUGUAUACACUGACGGUUUUGUACCGUCAUAUCAUUUUAAUUUAAAUUAAAUAUUAAAUUAUAUUUAUACAUAUCUAGAUUCGCAAUCGGACAUACUAAUAGUGCAUGAAAAGAUUUACCAAAAAAAAAUCUACUAUUCCAAGACAAAGAAUGGCCUUUUAUGUUAUAAUUUUUAUUUUUUUGGUUUAAUAAAUGUCAUGUAAAUAUGAUGAAGUUGACCGAGUGAUCUGUCAAUUCUAUUUUCGAAAUUUAUUACUGGAUUAUUGGAUGGUUUGAUUCAGAAUGAAAAUUAGGUUCAGGGAUGUAAUAGCUUUAAUAUUUAAAUGUCAGGGAUAAAUUUGUUUCAUUUUAAAAGUGAGGGACGAAAAGAAUAUUUUUUCGAAAUAUGAGGGAUGAAACAUGUCAUUUUCCCAAGAUUAAAUAAAAAAGUAUAUAAAUGUAACGAAAUGUAACAAUUAUUAGAAUAUGUAUAUACAUAUGAUAAAUUAAGUGAAUUAUAGGUGUUUAUAAGUAGGGAUGUACUCGAGCCAAAUUGAGCUCGAGUAUUGCUAUACUCGCUCGACUCGACCCAUAUGUAACUAGGCUCGAGCUCGGUUCGAACUCGACCAAGCCUAAAAAAUUGUAACUUGAGGGUUGACUCGAGAAAAUCCCUUUAAACUCGAGACUCGACUCAAAAGGUUCGACCUUUAGUCAAGCUUUACAAACCGAGUCUAAUCAAGCUUUUUGACUCAACUCGAAAAAUUUACACUUCUGCCAUUAUAGAAUUUUAUUAUAAAAAAGUAUAUUAUAAAUUCAGUAUAAAUUAUAUUCAUAACGGUCCAUUUUAUAAUUAUAAUACAUAUAUAUUAUUUAAAUUAUAUAUAUAUAUUUAAAUAUAUCCUGACUCGACGAGUAGCUCGGUGAGUUACAAGCCCCAAAAUACUGACCCGAAACUCGACUCGAAAGUACAUUCGAGUAGUUUGAGACUCGGCUCAAACUCGGUCAAAUCGAGUUCAAGCCAAGCCAUUGACCAAGCUACUCGCAAGUAGCUCGACUCGCGUACAUCCCUAGUUAUAAGUGUCUAUUGGGCACCAGUUAGAAAACCCUUAUUAUUAUUUACUUUCCAAAAACAUGCCAGCUUCUAAUUUCACAACUUGUGCACGAAGGGAGUGCAUAAACUACCUUUCCAUAUAUACCAUUUUUUACAUGUAUCGUAUAAAAACCAAUGCAGUGGUGAAUAACAAAAUUUAAGACCCAAGAUAGCAAUUUUCUGUUCUUGGGGUAAUGAUGAGCAGUUUAAAAUGUAAAUAUACACAAUAAUUAUGGUACAAUCACUCCCCCCCCAACCCCCAAUUACUCCUUCUAUGCAUCCAUGAUUGAGCAAACAACAGAUGAAGGACAGCGACUCCUUCGGAAAGACAAACUUAUGAAGAGGAAAGGAGGGGCCCAAAUUUGGAGAUAAGAAGCAUUUGCCAGGAACUAUCGGGGCUCGAUCAUAUGGGCCCUUCCUGUUGUCGUUCAAACUUCAAUAGGAAGUCCAAUCAGUGCUCUUCACCCCUGGAAAAAAAAAAAAAAAGAAAAGAAAAAUGCAAAUCACGUUGUACAUCAAUUAUUAGGCAUUUAAUGCUAGGCAAACAUGACAAAAUCAAUUACCAAAAAUGAAUUGCUAGGCACAUACAUAAAAACAGCUUCCUUGGUCUUUGAGAUAUUAUUUUAACUUUUAAUUUUUUUAUACGAUUUUAAUUUUCAACUACAAAGUUAAUUUCCUUGCUGAGAUUCAUAGUUCCGAGCUUUAGUAAGCACGACAGACACGACACGUUCAAUCUUUCUGCGGAAAGAAAGCUUUAAUUUUCUUCAUAACUGAAAGCACUGAGGGCGUAAAAGCAAUUGCGGAGCCUCAAGAAUUGACCCAACGAGAAGGGAUUCGAACCAGUUAUAGCCUAGUUCAACCAAACAAAAAAGUUGCCCAGCCAUUCAAUUCCUAGUCCAUCUGAUGAAUAGUCCAGCUUCAGACCAUUAGUAUCAUCAAGCUGAGCAGGGACCUUGAUCAUGGGUCGCUAUCAAAUAUUCAGAUGAAAAAGGAUAUGAAGGGGAAGACCCUGCUGAAUGUGUAAGAGUUUGGAAUCACGGGUGUGAUUAUUGGUGAGCUUGGGAAUGGAAAAUGGAGUUUGAGAGUUAUUCUGAAUUUAGGUAGUUGGGAUCAAAUAUGAGAAAUAGUUUUCAUACGGGUAGAAUAUUUAUUAUGGUUUUUUACAUUGUUUUGUUGAAUUGUACGUCUGUUGUCUUUGAGUUUCUAUUUAUUUCCUUCGUUUUUCCAAUGAACAAAAAAAAAAAAAAAAAAUUAGGUGAUAUUGCCUUCGAUCACCGUCACUAGCAAUCAAUCUUUUUGUCAAGAAAUGAUUUGUCUUUACUAAUUGAAUCAAUGCAUUAGAGAUUCUGGGGUUCAAAAUUCAAAUCCAUCGUUCUCUUCUCAUUUCUUAAAUCUUAUUCCUCUCUUACUAAAAAAAAAAGGAAAUUAAAACAAAAAUCAAUACAUCAUGCAUUGUUCUCCAAGUGUAAUCUGUGCCACCAAUUGCGUGCACAUUCCCGCGCGCCCUAGCGUACUCAAUGGAAAUGAUAACAGUGACUGCCUUGCCUUGUCGAAGGAUCAAAAAAAAGACGGCCCAAGCAAGGAUGAGCACGAGGAUGACUCAAAUUUCACUCGACUCGUUUGGGCUAAGUUGAAUUUGGACAACCCUCCGUGAAUAAUCUGGCUGACAAAUUGUGCCAUAUUAACAGCUGUGAUCCAACUUACCUGCCAAAGAGUUGGACCUCCAGGACGAUGUUAGCCUAGUUACGUAAACUUCAGAGAGCCCAUCCAGGACCCAAAUAUUAGUAUGUGUAUUCUGGCUAGUCCGAGCCUGUAUUGGUCGGUAUACCCUUAUCUCAACCAAAAUAUUACACGAUUCUUUAUUUACCUUUUAUCUGAUGUAUAUCACAUUACGUUAGUAUAUUAUUUUUUAUAAAAAAAUUUAAAAAAUAACAAUCCAAACGUGUUCUAAUCAUUUUUUUUAGGGUAAAAUAAUAAAAAACUCCUCGCAGUAAAUUUAAUAUAUAGAAAAACCCCCGUGAUUUCGAAACGUACAAUUGACACCUCGUGCUUUGAACUAAAUUGUAAAUGUGAUUGAAUCCGUUAAACUUAACGGAAAUGACUUAUUGUAACCUAAAAAAAAAUUUAUAUCUAAUUUUUAUCAAAUAUACCUGUUCUACCCCUUAACCCUCAAUUCUCUCUCUCUCUCUCUCGUAGAGAAUAAAACAAAUGAUUUUGUUGAAUUGUUUUUUGCUUAGUUAUAUCGGGGCAUUUUUGUUAUUUCGUCAUUUCUGUUAAAUUAACAAAUUUGUCACCUGUACAAUUUAGUUCAAAUCAUGAGGUUUUGUUGUACGUUUUGAAAAUACGUGAAAUUUUUUGUAUAUUAGAUUUAUGGCGGAGAACUUUUUUGUUUUUUACCCUUUUUUUUAUCUCAAAUACAUAAAUCUUUGACAGUCUACUGUCUACCAAUUACUUUAUUUUUAAAUUUUAAAUUAUGGUCUAGUCUUCGAUUUUCGCUUCAUUUGUUGUUUAUAGUAACAGUUUAAAGAACCAAUAGCAGUGCUUAAAUCCUACAAGUCCAAAAGAACAAAUUUUCGUUCCUUAAAGUUAUGUUGUUUAUAUUCGCAAGUUUAUAUAUAUUCAAGAAAUGGGCCAGAAAUCACCCAUUGUUUCUUCUUCUCUCGUCUCUCUCUCUCUCUCAGAAUUGCCUAACGUACAUGAAUCCUUGUCGUUUGCCUGUCGUCUAAUUUCUCAGCACGGAUCAUUAAAAUCAGAGAAACAAACCAAAGUGUUCAAAACUCUGCCUUCGUUAAGGAUUCCAAUAAUAAUAUGGAAAUGAAAAUGUUGGGAUACAUAAGCCAGUGACCUGAAUCAUGAAUACGCUUUUCUUCUGAAGGUUCGGCCAAGACCAAAGAAUUGAAAGAAAGAGCCGAAUACGAAUGCGGGAUUGAAGCUUCCAAUUUUGGGCUGGCUGGCUGAAUACGAUGAGUCGAGUUACCGCUAGUCUGAUGUAAAGGUCACGGAACUUUACAAGCUAGAAAUGAAAACUUCUGACCCAUUCACUCUCUCUUUGUUUCUUUUUUUUUUUUUUUUAAUCCGAAAAGUAGUUUGUGAUGUUUGUUGCACGUUUUACGUAAUUCUUUUUUACAUUUAUCAUACAUAUAUUUUUUUAUUAUUUUUUAUUUCACGUUCAUCGAAUCAGGAGUAUAAUAUAUUCUUAAAAAAUUUAAAAUAGCAAUUCAAAUGAGCUCAAUUUAGUCUAACCAAACGAACCUUCAAGAAACACAACAUACUGCUCUCUCUGUCGUCCGCCCUUGACUGACACUUGAAAGCUUGGGCAUAGCUUCUCUUCUCUUCUAAGCUCUUUGCCCCUUUCCCUUUCCCUUCUAAGCCCCUUUCCCUUUCCCACUCGCUGGUUCUCUGCAGAGAAAAAGUAUAGCCGUAGUACCCAAACUCUCUCUAGCUCUAGCUUCUCCAAUCUCCCUCUUCUCCUCAACUUCUUAGUAUUGUCUCGACUCUCGACCCAACCGUUUAGGUACCACAGGACGUCGUCCCUGCUCCCAAAGUGUCAGAACUACCAGCUGUCCACCAUCUUGAAUCAAAUAAAGCUGCAACCUCACUGCUGUCUCUAUUCCACGGCCUUUUCCAUCAUCAAAAUGCCUCCUCUUUCUCUUUUAACCUCUUUUCCAUCCAUUGAUUCUCUUCGCCGUGACUUCCAGCCCUCAAGGAACGAAUAAAGCCACUUCGGUUUUUUGGAGCUUGUUAACAGUAAAAGUUGGUGGAUUUUUGUUGUUGCGUUUUCGCAGUAAGAUUUUGUCGUUUCCUUUUGUUUCUUUCAAAGCUUUUAUCUUGUUUUUUUCCCAAUCUGUAUAUUCUUUUUACUACUAUUGAUUUCUUGGUUGAAUAGCCUCGUAGUAAAGCUAACGAAUCUUUCUAUUUUAACUUGCUUGUGAAGUUACAAAUCUAUGAAGACCUAGAUGUCUUGUUGCUGUUAAUUUAACUCUUUUUUUUUUCUUUUAACUUGUUGAGAAUCUUACUAAUACUACUGGCAUUAUUUUUCUUGUUACUGAAUUGAAGUUUGAACCUUUAUUUGUUUUGGGCCAUUUGUUUAAGGCUAAUUUCAGAGGGAAUCAUGCUUUUCCUUCCUUCCUGAAAUCCCACUUUCCCAUUGGUCUGGUUUUCUUGGAAUCAGAUAUUUAAAAAAAAAAAAAAAGGGUUUGGAAGCAUACUAGGAGGGGAUGAUGGAAUGUGCGCUGCUAAACGUCCAAUACCCUUCGAAUUUCAGACAUUGUUUCCAGAUUUGCGAGAGUUUGCAAGUUCAUGUCCAUUGGGUCUUUACUGCCGAAAACCAGUGCAGUGAUGGUGUAAAAAGUGCAAGCUACGCAGGUUAGGUAUUUAGGUACCGAAAUACCUAACUAAAUUUUAGGAUUUGCCAUGUACCAGAAACGUACUGGUUAGUAUAAUUCGAAUGGUCUUGUUUGGCAUGAGAAAGUACCAUUUAGGUACUUAAUAAACACGUAAUAAAAAAAAUAUCAUAUAUUCAACCAAACCUUUUUUAUUUUCCUUUUUUCGGCACUUAGAGAGUUUAAUCAAAAUUAAAUAACCAUGACUUUGGUAUCGUGUCAUGUGCGAUAGGACGAUAAAGGUACCAGAAUGUGGAGAUUAUUAUAUGGGAAUCGGGAUAACUUGUCGCCAGUGCUACUCCCAACCGAAGAAAAGAGCUUUGUCUUUUCUUUAUCUGACUUAACAAUUUAAUCAGAAUAUUCGAGUAUAGGACCUAAUAAAAAUAAAAUAAAAUAGAGUGCAUUCUAGUAUUGUUUUGUUGGGGAAAAGUUUUGGAUGAACAAAUUAAGAAAGUUAUAUGUGGAGGCCAGCUGGUUGAUGGCAGAAUUGAAGCUGAUGGAAUUUUAAAUUAGUUAAUCGGAGUGUCUAAGAAUUCGCUUAGAGGUGUUUUGUCCCUUUAUUACUUGUGGCCAACUAACUACUCCUGUUGUUUAUGUUAUGUUUUCUGCAAUUUUAGUACUAGGACUUUUUUCUCUCCCUCCUUUUUUUUCUUUUUUUUUUGGGUAUGGGGGGGGGGGGAGGGGAGGAGGAGGUAGGAGGGCAUGUUUGAUUUGGACUCGGGGCACGGACGGUUGCAGGUGCAACCGUUCCUGUCAAUUUUAGUCAUUAUCAAUUGCGUGUAACUUUCUUUGUACAUCGUGUAACUUUUUUUUCACAGGAUGUAUUUUCACAACAGAUAGUGGUGGGUCCCACACUUGACGCGGAAAUCGAGUUACAUGGUAUUAUCUCAGCCGCACAAAAUUUUGAGGGCAAAUCUUGGCCCUUAACCGUGCAUGAUGACCGUCCCUGCCCCAAAUCCGUUUGAUUUCUUCUCCCCUUUGCAAGGGUCAAUGAUUGGAGACAGGCGAAACGGGAGAAAAUUGAAGACCCCCAAAAAAACCGAGUAAAAAAAAAGACCCGAACCGACUAGCCAAAUUAGAAGAAAAGAAAGGAAACCCCCCGGCAUAAUCGGGAGGGUUGCAUGUCUGCGGCGUCAAAACAAGAGUCAUUUCUGUUAGAUAAAGCCACUUCUCUUUUCUUUGUGAAAAUGUUGCAAAAUGCGAUGUAUCCCUUGAACUGAAUUGGUAGAGAGAGAAAUGAGGUCAGCUGGUUGCGCUGCUUUUACGCUUUAGCUUACGUAUUACGCUUUUAAUACGUUAGGGACAAGGAUCAGAUAGCAUGCGUGCAUCACACCCUUAUCUUAUGGAAUAAUUUCACAAACUUCCCUAAGGUUUAAAACACAAGCAUUGACACUUGGUGAGGUUUUAAAAAUUUCACUGACCUCCUGACAGGUAUUUGGAGCGCUUUGCUUACGUCAUGAUGGCUGAAAUUACCACUUUGUCCUGUGAAGGCGGGGCUCGUUACUAACCUAAAUUUAGGGAACAAACGGAUCUGAAUUAGUUAGUUACAUUUAGCUAGAAUAACAAAAUUGAUGAAGAAAUUUGGCACCAUUUUUUCUGACAGCUAUAAUUUGGUAAGGAUGAUUGAACACGUUUCUAUAAGAGAAGGAAAAAGAAGAAGUGAAUGGAGACAAAGUGCAGAUUUGUUCUUGUGUUGGGAGUGAAGGUGAUUUUGAACCAGAAAUCAAGGUACGAGCUCCCCAUGUGGUGCUUGAAAGUUUCUGAAUUGCAUUUCCCCCCCCCCUUCAACUUUACUAAUUAUUUCGACCUUUUAAGGACUUGCAAUCUUCUCUCAUCUCACUCUUGGCAAUAAUAUAUUAAUCUUAUUUGGACUGAAUUGUUACCAAAAUCUCAAAAGCAAAGAUGGUCAGUGAAGUUUUUAAAAACUCAGAGGGUGAUAGGGCAAGUGUUAGAAUCCUCAGGGGAGGUUUGUGAAAUUAUCCCUGCCUUCAUUAUUACUGUGGCAUGAGAUAUCGAUCAAGUUUUGCACCCUUUCUCCUUUCUCCCGCUCGGUUUUAUUAAGUAUGGAACAAAAAAUUAAUAGGCUAGCAAUUAAAUAGAGGGAGGAAUGUAUUUGAUGAUACGAGCGGAGGGAGCGUAAUUUAAUAAAAAAAAAUUAGUAAUUAACUUGAGGAGAGUCGGACUGAGUGGUAAGGUGAUAAAGAUUGUAAUUAGAAGAUUUUGAAUUAAAAUCUCCCAUUUAUUUAUUUUUUUUAAAAAUGGUUGGCAAGUAACAAAAUUUAUUCCCCUUUCGGCGUCCUAUUCAAUCACGGGCAUCUUGGUGGAAAGGACCAUUCUAAUUUCGUUACAAGGGAUUUCAACUUAAAAGGUUUUUGAUUUUUGGGGGGGGGGGGGGGGGGGGUAAGGGGGCUGGGUUUUAUAGUAGUGGCACAUAAACAAUCGGGUCCACAGCACAGGAUAAGGCUCUCCGGGCACCUUGACCCCGUCAUUUGGCAAAGGAAAAGUCAUGGAUUUGAGGGUCAGAUUCUGCAAGUACUAAACAGACAAGACUCCUUUGCUUCACAUGGAAUAAAGAUUUAUCCAUUCGCCUCAAAAAUAUAUACCACUGCUACUUCGUAUUUCGUAGUAGUAGCUCUCCAUAAGGAUCUCCCACCUCCGAAAGUUUAUAUUUCCUCCGUUCCACUUUGAUAGUUCCAUUUUUUUUUCACAUAAUUUAAGAAAAAAUAAUUAACUUUGUUGGAAAAGUAAAUUUAGAUUGCUAUUUUUCUAAAAUACCCUCACAUUAAAUAUGGUACAACUUUAUGGGAACUUGAAUUCAUAGUCAAAAAAGAAUCAAUUCUCAUUAAAUGGAGUAGGCUUAUAGUAACAACAACUUACAUUGAAUAAGGGUAUUUUAGAAAAAUUAAAAUACAACUAUAUUUUUCAAUUAGAAAGUGGACUAGAAUUUGAGACAGACCAAAAAGAAAAACGGAACUGUCAAAGUGAAACGGAGGGAAUAUUAUACACAGAAGAAGAUGAGGAGCUGCCCUUUAUUGCACGCUCGACAGUCCUUUUCUUUUUAUUUAAAAUUAAUAGUAUGACAAAUAAGUCUUCGGACCGGUUCUUUUCAAACACACCGAGAGAAUUAAAUGUGAUGAACCAGUUAACGAAAAAUAUGGGUUUCGCAAACGAAUUUGCUGGAAUGUGACGUAUUGAUUAACAGCAUGUCAUGUCUUCCACAAGUUGCAAAAAAGUAGGGCAACACAGAUUUUAUAGACUUGAAUUAUUGUGAUAAUUAUUGAGUCCCACGUAUUAAUGGAAAUUUGUGUUGUCCUUUAUCCCCCGAAAGAAAUGAAUAAAAACUAGGAAAGCAAGAGAGAACGAAAAGACCUUUAGAAAAAGGUGGAACAUCAUAAUUGCUUGAAAGGAUCCACCAUAAAUGCUCAAUUUUAGUGGCAUGCAAGACCAGCAUAAUUCUGCAGUCGGUUUGUUCCAGAAUUGACAAAGUGGAAACACGGCAUGCUCUAACCCCAUAAAUGGUACGUUAUUCAUCGUGUUCAAGAUAGAAUGCUGCUUUGACUCUCUUGCAAAACCCAAUAUCUCCGAUAUGCUCGACUCUUUUUAUGAAAUUAAUCUAGCAGUAUCAAUUUACUUCCUCCGUUCUAUUUUGAUAGUCCCGUUUCUUUUUUCACACAGUUUAAGAAAAAGUAAUUAAUUUUGUUAGAAAAGUAAAUUUAGAUUGUUAUUUUUCUAAAAUACCCUCACAUUAAAUAUGGUACAACUUUACGAGAACUUGAAUUGAUGGUAAAAAAAGAAUCAACUCUCAUUGGAGUAGGUUUAUAGUAACAACUACUUACAUUGAAUAAGGGUAUUUUAUAAAAUUUAAAAUACAACUACAUUUUUUAAUUGGAAAAUGAACUACAAUUUGGGACAGAUGAAAAAGGAAUACAUGGACGGAGGGAGUAUAAUGGUUCUCUUGCGUAAAUUUGACCGUUAAGAGGCUAAAGCCAGCAUUUUGACUUCAUCGCAUGAUCAAACUUGCUGCAUCAACAUUUAUGUUGAAGGUGUUUAAGAAUCCUGGAUUCUGUCGUAAAGUCUUGCAAACUUUCUGCAAAAGCCUCGACUCUUUCUUUUCGACAGAUUUUUAGUUGAUACUCCCUCCGUCCAAUUUUGAUAGUCCUGUAUUUCUUUUUCAUCUGUUCCAAAUUGUAGUUCACUUUUCAAUUGAAUAAUGUAGUUGUAUUUUAAUUUUUCUACAAUACCCUUAUUCAAUGUAAGUAGUUGCUACUAUAAAUCUAUCCCAUUUAAUGAGAGUUGAUUCUUUUUUUACCAUCAAUUCAAGUUCCCAUAAAGUUGUACCAUAUUUAAUAUGAGGAUAUUAUAAAAAAAUAGCAAUCUAAAUUUAUUUUUCCAACAAAGUUAACUAUUUUUUCUUAAACUGUGUAAAAAAAGAAACAAGACUAUCAAACGGAUGGAGUAAGAUUUAUUGACAAGAUGCCUGAUGAUUAACGAGACGGUCGGGAGGCAAUCAAGGGAAGCUGCUAUCUUUGAGGUGGAUUUGCCCAAAUCUUAAUUUAAAACGAAAGACAGGAAAAGUCAACAGCAACCAGGCUAUUCAAGUCUUCAACCACAACCAAUGCACCGCCUCAUCGUCCUCUCUCUCAAAUUUGUCUUCUUCCUCGGAAGUCCACAUACUCGUAUUAAACAAAAACAACGUGGGUUGCUCCAAGACUUAAAAAAAGAAAAAAAAAAAGAAAAAAAAAGAGAGAGACUGGAACAUCUCUUCAGCUGCUAUACUAUACUUGUUAUAAACCAAGGCAGCCAGAUUUUAUUUUUUACCCAAAAAUUAGUGAAUUGAUGCCCUUUUCUUGGAUAAAAGAAAGGUGCUCGUGGCCAUUAAAUAAAUUGUGCUAGUCAGUGAAAUCCUGAUCAAAAGGAAAAUGGAAGUUCCAAAUUCAUCUCCAAAGAAAAAGGCUGGUUCGGGGGAAGUCGGGUUGGGCACAGUACAAGGAAAUAGCGUGCAUGUGUCGCUAUUGCCUUGGUGGCCCCGGAACUUGGUGCCUGGAGGGGAUUGCAGAAACGAACUUCUUUUUUUGACUAAGCUAAUCGUCUUCUUCGAGUCUUGAUGACGAUCAUAAUGAAUGGAACUCUUGCUGGUCGAUGUCACUUUCUUUGUUAAGACGUAUUCGACCACAUUUAGUCAGGGCAGAAAGGUAAUUAAAUCACAACUUGAUACUUGAAUCAAGGUCGUCCCGGGUAGAGUUUGCUUGAUUUUAAUUUGUCAAUUAAAGUCAAAUCUAACACGAAUAGUAUUUUGUGUUGGGCAAAAUUUCGAACUUUGGCUCAAACUCAGCUUGAUCACUGCAAUAUUUAUAGUUUACAUGUAAAAUAUUCAAACUGUUCGAGCUAAAUUUGAGUUAAGACUCCAUAAAAGUUUGAUAUAAUUUGGCUCAAUUGAUAAAUUCAAACUUAUUAAAUUAAAUAAAUAAAUUUAAAAACUAGAAUAUUCGACUCGUUCAUACCCUCAGAUUUAGCAGGCAUGGCGCGUGAUAAGAGGAGGACCCUUAAGCCAGGCCAGGGGCAUCUCCUGGGGAGCUACUUGAUGAGAAAGUGAUGUAAAGCCAUGAAAAUGCUCUCCGUUAUUGCCCAUCGGUUAUACUUUUACCUGAACUAAAAAGUCUUGGCCACUUGUUCAAAGGAACUUCCUGUCCUAGAAGCUGUCAGACUCACAGACCAACAUGCAUGACAAAUGAUUUAAUAUAAUGCCAUUAAAACUCAAAAAAGGAAGUAAUGGUCGCGUUGAACGUAUUGAGAAGCCGGUGCAGUUUUAGAAUUAAAACCGGCAGGGAAAUAUCUCCCCAGAUGACAUGUCAAGCUUACAACAAUGAGGGGUUACAAACUUGGAUUCACCACUUUUUGCUUUUGGCAAAGAGAUGAGCUUCAACUACAUAUUUGGAAUCAAGGCAAUUGCUUUCACACGUUCGUUUGAUUCAUUAUUUAUGUACAUUCCAUUGUGCGUGUUGAAGCAGUGAAACUUCAUUCUA
rnacentral:lncRNA from 1 species